rnacentral:lncRNA from 1 species
UUUUUUUUUUUUUUGGGUUGUGAUUGGGACUGGGUUCCACUGAAAGAGAUUUGAGUAGGAUCCAAGUGUAAAUACCCCAAAUGCAGUAGGCGCAUCCCAGAAUUUCUCAAUACUAAUAUAAAUAAUCAAAUGAAUUCAGACACAUCAUUUUCCUAACUAUAUUUGACAUCACAAGAUCUAAAAGAAAUUAUCUAUUAACAGAAGAUUUAAGAACAAGAAGAAAGAAAAAAGGUGGGAUUAGUUAGUGCUCACUGAGUUGGUACUCCCUUUAAAAAAAUCGUAACCAGGGUGAAAAAGGGGGAGACAUGAAGCAUUAUACCAGCAGGUAAUGCCAUAACACAGCUAAUUACUUUACUAAUAUAAUGGACAUACCACUUCAAAGACAGAGGCACAUUUAGUAUUAGGAGUAAUUCGUUUCCCGGUGGCAAAAUAAUAGGCAGAGCAGUGGGGUUCUGUUAAUUGAUGUGAUGUAAGUAGAAUGUGGGCCUUCAAGUGUCACAUCCCCUGUGUUUAAUUACUAUAAACCAUACUUUUCUUGACUGCACACACUACUGAUACUGAUAUAUAUAUAUAUAUAUAUAUAAUUAAAGUACUAAUGUGUGUGUAUAUAUAUAUAUAUAUGUUUACGUUGGACUCGUUGGUUGUGACAGUGAUGAUUACCAUUUGCGAUUUGUACAUUAAUUGGAGUCCUUUCAGUAUGAUGCGUCUCACUCGUGCACAGUUUUGGCCACCAACCUUUCUUCAUCUUCUUCACAGCUGGUAAUUUAGGGUGCACGUAAUUAAAUCAAAGCUUAACUGGCAAAAGCUAAAGCUAGCCGGUCUUGGAACCUCUAAUUAGGAGCACACGACCCAUGUUUUCCUCAUUACUCUUGGAAGUAUGCUACAGCUGAAAAGGGCCAUCCAGCCCUGCUUUCCUGGAGGAGUUUUAGGGCUGACGACAGUUUGGUACCCGCACUCAAGACAUACAGUGGGUGGGAGACACCUUUCCCCCUUAUCGGGCAACCAAAUGCAUACAUACGUACGUUAAAUAAUUUUUCUUAAAAAAAAAAAAGAAAAAGGCCACCUGCCAUCGUCAACGUGGCGCAAGGUUUUGGUCAUCAACCUUUUAGAUAGAGCAUCUACAGUAGCUGAGUAUUAUUAUUGCUCUUGCGCUCUCUCUAUUUUAUUACAAUCUUGCAUUGAUUCGGUUUAUCUAUAGAUUAACCGUCCUUUUGGAGCUCAGACAAAGAGCGUCUAUUUUACUUUUUUCUUUGAAAAGUCCCCACUACGAUUGCCUAUUUGGUCUAAUCCAAUCCAACUUUUUAAAGCAUCAGAAAUUGUCUCGUCUAUCUCUUUCUUUUGUUUGUUUCCCCAAAACUACCUUGGAUCCGUCAACAGGGAGUAACGCAUUGAUUAAAACUGAUCAUCACACCCCCCGGAAUUACACGGCGUGUAGGCAUUUUCCAUGUGAUCUUCUCGAAGAAUAAUCAAUCGCGAGCGGCUGGAUUCGAUUCGUCUGCAGCCCAACCCGCCUGUCAACUCAACAUCAAAAUCAAACUCAAUCGCCCUCCCUAAUUUCUUCAUGUCUUCUCAGAAGCCUCUAAAUCCCCAAACUUUCUAGCUCUGCGCUCCCAUUCCUUAUGGAAUACAUUUUUAUCAGCUAAUUUGUUAUUUUUUCCUAUAAUUUUUUAAUCUAAGUUGAGAAUGACAAAAUAGUAAAAAUUUACAAGGGAAGAAAACAAUUUUAGAUCAAAUAUUUAAAACGGUAUUCAUAUUUGAUUGUUUCCUCGUUUGAGGAACGGGAUGUUGAUACUUUUGUUAGGCUCUUUAUAAAUGCAAGCUUUUAUAGGACAAUUUUUACUUUGCUUAUGUCCAAUAAACUAGUGACACGCACACAUACGUACAUAGAGUAGUUGCAGUAGUAGUAACACGUGGGAAAUAGGUCAUUUACGUUUGAGUCAAUUUAAUAAUGGAUUUUCUAAAAUUAUCAUCUAAAUUUGGAGCGCCUGGUGGGUUCCUGGCAUAUUUCCGAUUAGAACUGGGUAAUAAAAGUAUCGGAGGACAAAAAAUGAUAUUAAGCACUAAAAUCAUCCGUUUCAAUUCUAAAAUCGCUCGUUUUCAUUCUAAUAGACUAAAUUUUAACUUACGUCAUGUACCACGGACGAUUUAUGCAAUUCUCCACUUAUUCAACUCAAAAAAUGAUAUGAUAGAAACUAAAACCAUUCGUUUCAAUUUUAAAACUGCUCGUUUUCAUUCUGAAUCUUAACUUACAUGAUAUACGAGGGACGGUUUAUGCAAUUCUUCCUUUAUUCGACUCACAUUUUUUGUAGUUUUAACUUGAUAAUCGGGUAGUUUAUUAGAUUAGAUAAUUGUUUUUGGGUUGGUUGUUUCUUUUUACUAAGUUUCGUGGGUUGUAAAUAGACCUUUUGUUCGAGUAAUUUUGUGGAGAGUUUAGAGGGUUUUUUGAAAGUCCACGUAAGCUACUUUUGAAUCUUCUACUAUGUAUUUCGGGAAUUUCAUCGCUGUUAUAUGGAUUAUAUACACAAUUUUGUGUCAACGGUCAAAUACGAGAUUGGUCCGAGUUGUUUAGAAUCAGAGAACAAGUUUUCGGAGGAGCACCUUGGUAAGGUUAUAAGCUUUUGUUGUUUGACUUGUGAGUCUAAGGAUCAAUCCUAAGACAAGUGUCUCUCCUGAAGAAUAAAGUCCGAUGCAAAAUCUUACUGACACUGAAAAAAUAGCAGCGUAGCUCAAACAAAAAAAAAGAAACGAAAAUGCAGCUUUAUCAUGCCGGUUGUAUAUCUAUUUUGUCUCCAGCCUGAGCCAAGCUUUCCUUUUCCGCCUAUUAUAUGUAGUUACCCAUUACAAAAGAAAAUGCUUUGGUAUACUAAUACCUCAGUGCCCAAUUGGGACGUCGCAACGUCCAUUUAUAUGGUUGAAGUGGACGGCAAAAGAACGAAAUAUAAUUAUAAACGCUGUACGGAACAAAAGAGAAAACCAACUGAAACAAAAUCUCUAAUUCUUUCUUCUUUUUUUUUGUUUUUGGGUUUCAACAAAUCUCUAAUUUCUGUCUACUCAAGUUGCAAAAUUAAUCUAAAAACCAAACAAAAAUCUGGGUUUUCUUAUUGUAUGGUUAAACGAAUGCAAAGCUGAAGAUUUUCCAGUCCUUGCGCCAGCCCUGCAGAUUCUUUCUUCAUGGGAGGAAAAAACAAAAAACAAAAUAGAAAGAGAAGGAAUUGGUUUCUUUGCUAGACGGCACCAGCAGCGUCCAUUUGGGAUUCUGGGACACAGACUCAGAUUUUUUAAAUUGACAUUUCACCAAUUAAAUGAGUGCCAUUGAGCCCAAAGAUGAUUGAUACCCGAAGAAUGAGGCUUGUCACUUGUGCGACUCGACAGAGACGCUGCAAUUUGUUGGAACCUAUGGACCACGCCAUCAACAACAAUUCAACUUCGUCGGCCGGCCGACUCAACUCAAAAAGAAAGUAAUUAAGCAUAUGUCUCUCUCACAUUAACCUUGACGGUUGCUAUAUGCGAGGAAGGCACUGAUUCCUCCCUACUCUGCUGCUACUUCCCAUUACACAGCAACACCCAUUUGUUCAUGGGCAGAUCUGUACAUAUAUGUAUAUAGUGAACUGCAUUGUUAAUUUGUUGUACAUAGUAACGACGACGUUGUAGCGGCCCUUUUGAAUCUAAGAUUGGCCACGACUCUUGAUAAGAAAUUAAUCGAGAUCACUACGAACUCCUCUUCUAAGAUGACUUGUGAAUCCGGCCCAACCCCCUUGAAGGCAAUUAUUACCAAGGGGCUUCAAGUAGAAUCCGUUUUCCUUUGGCGCGUAGAAUUACAAACUCCUUUCUCCCUAAAAACUUCAUUCCAAUUUUUUUUUUCCCUACAAAUCCCAUUCCUCGUAAAAUAUUAAGGAAAGCUUGAUUAUGACAUUUAGAAAUUGAUUAUACCAGACACUAGAAAUAGAAUACACCUCGGAACCAAACAAAAUCUUGUUCAGUUAGUUAUCUGAAAGCAAUUGAGCUUCAUGAAGAAAUAGCUCGCCACUCGGUCAAGAAUAUCCUUAGUGCUGGACUUUGCCAACUUUGCAGAGGGGAUGCUGUUGCAAUAACUGAUGCACUGGAGAAAUAUCAGGUCUAUUGGUGUUGUAUCGUUUGAAGGUUACUUGGCAUUCAUUUGCUUUUACAGGACCUAGAUCCCACUUUUCCCAGAACAAGGGAGUACAGAUUUUUAGCUGUAAGUAUUUAUCACUGCGAAAGAACAAUAUGUGUCAGUAACCUUUGGGUUCUUAACAUGCAAUCCUCAUUAUGCUUGCACGGAUUCUUGUCACUGCAAUUCUUUUUUAGUCUACUAUAUCAUUGUUUCCUGAGUUGAUACAUCAUCAUAGAGGCCUUUGGCAUGUAACUUCAUGGUUUGAAGAAAAUGCCCAUAUUUUUUUUCUGCGGCAUAUCAGGAUUUGGCUACUGCAGUUGACGAGGAAGAUGGUGCAAAGUUCGCUGAUGUUGUCAAGGAGUUUGAUAGCUUGACUCCUCUGGUAAAUGGUCUUUUUCCACUUAAUCUUGUUCUAUUGGUCAGCACUAGUCAUUCGAGUGGGAAGUGAGAUUGGUGCAGUAACUCUAGAUGUUUUUCACUCUCAUCUCCAACUUACUACCUCAACAGAAACUUCAAGCCACUACUCUAGCUCUUUUUUACCUGACGGUCUUCUCCUGCUGCUAUUGAAACCAUCUUCCAUAUAACUUUCUGUAUGACAAGCACUUACUUAAAGUCGUCCACUACAUUUCUGUAGGGUGCAUGGAAGACCACGCUUCUGUUAAAAGUGACCUGGAUUAGUCAAACUCUAAUGGCUUCAUCUUUAUCAAAAGUUUGCUAGAUAGUUCUUGGACUGUGCAGCAACUAGCUCUUUGUUUUUUGGCUACUACAAGAUAUGAUACCAUGGCAAUAAAGUAGACAAGUGGAUCACUCCAAGCUUCUUGAUCACUCCAAGCAUUUGAAAGGUUCUUGUUGAAAGGAAAAAACGAAAGAAAUCCAAAGGCCCUGUUGCUCGGCUUCUAAUGUUCCUAAUUUUCACCAUGAAAAUUGUGUUAUUGAUAGAUGUCUACUCUGUUACAAUGAGUACCAUUAAUUAGGUCUUAAAAUAUCUUGAAAGAUUUUGCACUCCAAAAGGUAGUAUAAAUAAAGCUAAACUACAAUGACACGAUUGACGGGAUGAAAUAACCGACGAGCAAAAUUCAAUAAUGUGUCUAGAUUAUGAAAUGGAAAAAUGCGCUUGAUUGCUCUAACUUAUUAAGGUCAGCAGAGAAGGUGAACAUGAUAGAUAGGAAGGAUCUCAGGCAAAUAAUAAAAUGAAGGCAAGGAUAAAGAUGAAGCCAUCAGAGUUUGAAUAAUCCAGGUCACUUUUGGCCACGAAAAAUGUUGAAUGACCAAACUAUACUAUUUUAAAUAGUUUAGUAACUAUUUUGGCCAUUUACUCAAAGCUCCUUGGCAAGCGUUCACUAUUUCAGUUUCAUUCUGUUGUAUUUCUUGUUAGUAUAUCAUUAUUUUAGGGAGGAUGUGCGGGUGUUUGGUGUCUAUGAUUAAAGAGAAUUUUAACAUAGUUAUUUGUUGGUGUUGUGUUGUUAUUUUAUGGAAUUUCGAAAGUAUUUAAACUAGUAGGAGAGUAAGUGAACGAAGAUAAGAGUGAGAUAUCAUACUAAACGAUAAUAUUUCAUAACAUAUGUUUCAAUAAUAGAUUUUCUAUAAAGGUCAUUUAAAUCUCCCUUUCUUUAUAUUAUUAUUCAAUUUGCAUUUCAUAGAUUACAAGUAAUUUCAUUAGUUAUAUGUCUGUUCUUGGGGUUAAAUAUUAAUCAACCUGUCGAUCAAUAAGGAUUAUAAUACAUGUAAAAAGUCAUUUAAGUUUUCCUUUCUUCAGAUUAUUAUUCAAUUUACAUUUCAUGGAUUACAAGUAAUUUCAUUAACUAUAUGUCUAUUUUUGAGGUUAAAAUUCAUAGCCACACUCAUUCUUUUAUGGUGUGAGAUUUUGUUUCACAUCUUUUUGAUUUUUUUGUUCAUCUUUUUAGUUUUUUGUAGUAAUUUUUAGUUUUAUUUAUCUGCAUAAGAAAGCAUUCAUUGUUCUAUAAUAUAAGAAAGCACUUAUUGAAGUUGUUUGCUUGAAGGAAUUUCUACAAUUUCGUCAUUGCCUAAAAAAAUUGAAUUAUUUCUAUUACUUCUGCUUAAUUAGAAGGUAUAUGUAAACAUUACCAAUAUGAAUGGCUUAGAAAUGUUUAUUCUAUUAAUUCAUCAGUGGUUAAAUAAUUCAAAUUCAAAUCAUCAGUAUACCAUGUAACCUACUAAUUCACAAUGCUUCACUAUCAAAAUGAAUUCCAUAUAUGAAUCACUUACUACAUGCAACAGAAAACACACCAUAACUGAACUAAUUAAGAUGCUUUUUUGGCUUACCUUAUUCCAAGUAUCCUCGAAAAACUUUUUCUUGCAAUUAUUCCAAACCUAUUACAUCAUAAUCACACUAUUCAAAUUACACAGACCAACCAAAUUCGUGAAAAAAAAUCAUAAUAUUAUACUUAAAUUACGUAACCAUAGUUUCAAAUUUUGCGAUGGAAGCAGUCAUCGAAUGCUACACUACACCAAACCCACCCACAUAAACAAUAAAAUUAAGGAACAAAACUCACCUUAAGUUGAACCACCAAGAAUAGUUUCACCCGAAAAUUAUUUUGGGAUGCGGAGUAUAAAGGUAGUAAAAAUAGCCCAAUCCUGAAAGCCAAAAGGAAAAAAAAACUGAAGAAUGUGAAGGAGAAGGCAUUCGAACAACCAUAAUCGAUGCUGAGGCAUUAAUUCAUUAACAUACCCACGUUUUCUUCAAUUUAAUUGAGAUAUAAAUGGCAAAAACAAUUGAAUAUGUUUAAGGCAAUUGAAUAUUCUCAAACGGCUUGAUGCUCUGUUUAGCCUAAAACCGUCCCUCUAUACUUAAACAACUCUCUCAUCUCUAAACCCUCCAUUCUUGAAAGUAAGAUUACAGGAAUGUGUCUUCAUUUCAAUUGCACAAUAAAUACCACACUUCAAGUAAAUAUGUCUGUAACACCAUUUAAAUAAUUACACCAAUACAUAAACUUGUAUGAUUUGUACCCGAUACAAAAACUAUCAUAAAAUAAUUUCACAUUCAUAAAAUAUUCAAAUAUCUGCAUAAAUAAACGCUUUAAAUGUAUAAACAUGAAGAAAUUUCUGCAAAUAUACCAAAAUACAUGCUAUCAUCAUUUGUACGCAAGGUUAAAAAUAAACUCCACAUCAUUUCACAUUUCGAAAAUGCCCCUAUUCAUGGGAUUAAAAUUCAAAACCUCUCUUUGGCCAUUACUCAUUCUUAUGUAGAACAAGGAUAUCUUGUUUGUCUUCGGGAAUGGAAUGGACCCGAGUACGGCUCAAUUGAUCGUUUAAAGGUCGCUGUUACACGCGUAGACCGUGUAUAUAUUUGUCUGGACCGACAAGGACGACGAUCCUUCCCUUUCCGGAGAACAUCCAAAUUUAGUAACGUGAGAAGUAGUAUCACGCAAGCAUUGGCAAUUCUGGAAGGAAAAUAUCUUCUUUUUUUUCCACAAUCAAAAGGACCUGGCCCCACUUCAGGCCCCAACCCUUAUUCGGGUUGUUGGAUUACCCCAUUUUCGUUACUGGAACUCGAACCGGUGACCUACGGGAUACUACCGCAUGUGGUCACCGGCUGAGCUACCCAGGAAGGGCUGAAGGAAAAUAUCUGUCUGCUGAUAUUAAGAGUCUCUUUUUCUCUGCAUAACACACCUAAUAUGAUGGAGUAGGAGCAUAUUUUGUGUCCUCCGGGAUGCAUAUGCUGUAUCUUUGAAUAAAUGUCCCAUUUACUUACUGCGAAUGCUGCCGAUAUUCCAAACGUAAUCAUUUUUUUGUUUCUUUCCGAGUAGAAAACACUACUACGGAUCGAGUACCUCCAAAUUGGCUGGUGAAAAGAAUCUUAUGCUAUAAGAUAUUGGUAGGUUAGCUGGUCUUGCUGUAUUAUCUGCCUUUGAAUAUUUGUUGAUGUUUUUUGGUUUUAAUUUGGGGAGUACUCUUGUAUUAUUAUUAUUAUUAUUAUUAUUAUUAUUAUUAUUUAAAUAAAUAAAGUAUAGGCACAUUAAUGACCCAAAGACUGUACUGUUAUUUAGUGAUCAGUGGCAUGGAACUCCGUGGACCAGAAUAGUUGGAAUAUCUAAUAAACUAACCAAUGGGCUAAUCUCAAAUAUCAUGCAGUAAUUUUCUUGAUUUCGCACACAGUCACGUCACGCAGCAGUGAUCAGUAAAAUUAGGAAAAAGAAAAACUGAGGAUAAUAAUAAUAAUAGGAUCAGAAAAAAAUGUCGAAUACGUUAAAAAGUGGAGUAGUAAGCCGCUUAUCCUAACUAAUCUUACUUGACCAACAUUAAAAAGGGAGAGGGCGACAAUUAAAUUAAUCAGACACCGCAAUCAAUCAUCCAGCGAAUCACAAUCAAAAAAUCAUCCAACGAAUGAAACAAAAAAAAAGGCACGGCACCAACAACGUAUAAACUUCCAAGUAUAAGGUACAAGUGGUAGCAGACUAACUAACUAGUGUAAUAUUUAUUUGUUCCGAAAAAUAAAUCUGAUAAAUCAGUAGUAGUUUUACAAAAUCAGCUUUUAUUUUUAUUUUUAUUUUUAUUUUUAUAAAAUAAAAUGUUGAGAAGAGAACGGGCCCUUUGCCCGUUUGCCCGUUUGCCGUCUCUCGUCACCCUCUUUCUUCCUGCACGCUGACCGCUGGUAGUAGAGUGUGAGUGGUAGACUAUAAGUUAGUAUUUAUUAAUAUUUAAAUUCACCAUCGCCAAAUCGAUCAUGCUCUCGCACUCCCCUGCACACACUCACACACUAGACCUCGGUUGCUUCCAUCUUUCCCAUGGCUGCUCAUUCACUGUCUCCUCUCAACCUCCGUCAUCUCAGCCCUCAGCUUCCCACCGCUACUCUGCCAUCAUCAUCACUACUCUUAUUGAGGAGGAGUCUUCGUCUCAAUUUUGCCUUACCCAACGCUGCUUCCGGGCAAAGCCCCUGCUGCCAAGCUCCUGCACCCGUCGUCAGAGCUUCCGUCCGCACCCAACUUCUGGCGAAACUAAGAUUGACGAUGAAAAUAAUAAUAUUCUCAGAGUUGGAGUCAUCUGCGGAGGUCCUUCCGCCGAGCGCGGAAUUUCUCUCAACUCCGCAAGAUCAGUCCUCGAUCACAUUCAGGUACUAGAACGCAUGAUUCAUUGAUUUGCUUUGCGAGCAAACUUACUCCUAUUCUUCAGUUAAUUCCUUCUCCAGACUUACCCCGGUUUAUAAACUUAGCAGCCAGCAGUCUUGCAGAAUUCUUAUUUUUAUCUUCUUCUUUUUUUUCAACAGGGAGAUGAUUUGCAAGUAAGCUGCUACUACAUUGACUACAACCUCAAUGCUUAUGCUAUAUCCUCUGCUCAGGUAGGUUCUGUGCAUUACAAUCAUUCUUCUACUCAUUUUUCAACAAAAAAUUUUAUGCUCUUUUUCCGCCAGCGUCUUCAGCAGGUUUGCUAACUUGUGCAUGUUAAAGCUUGUUAUGCCUUUUUUUGUUCUUUUUAAAAAUCUGAAAAGACACUCUGUGAAUGUCAAAAUGCUGACUGGAAACUGCUUUUGGUUAUGCUAGAUGUAUUCGAACACUCCUGCAGACUUUGAUUUCAAGCUUGACAGGUAAGCGAUUCUCCAUUUUAUUCGUUGUGAUCUCCUUUUCUAUAACAGGUUUUGUUCGGUUCCUUUUCAGCCUUGCCCAAGGUUUCGAGUCUUUAUCUGAGUUUGCACGUCAUCUUGCUGCCACCGUAGACAUAGUUUUUCCUGUUAUACAUGGCCGCUUCGGUGAAGAUGGUGGCAUCCAAGUAUCUUUCUCCUACUACUAAAAAUUCUGCUACUUCACAUGCCUGGAUAAUCUCAUGAACUUGACUUUUGGUGACUAAUGUUGCUCUCUCCAAUUUGGUCGAUAAUUCAGGAGCUACUGGAAAAUUUUAACAUCCCAUUUGUUGGUACUCAGUCUAGGGAAUGCCGCAAAGCAUUUGACAAAGUAAAUUUCUCCCUCCAGAGUGCCAUUUCGAUUCAUUUUUGUCAAAAAUUUCAAUACCACCACAAUGGGAUGCGUUAGAAUUCUGGAAAAUGGAUACUAAACACAGAUUCAGUAUAAGCUGCAAAAUUCAUUGAACUAGUUUGUCUCCUCACAAUGCCCCUUGUUAUAGCAGGCACAGAUGAUAUUUAGUGUCAAUAUUUGAUUCUCUAAUUACAAGGUGAUUCUGAAUGUUGUUUAUCUUGAUCUUGCCAGUAUGAUGCCUCUUUGGAGCUUGAGAGACAAGGGUUCGUGACAGCUCCCAGCGUUUUAGUCCAGGUGCUGAUCCAUUUUGUUAACGCUUCAUCCUUUAAUGUGGUGUGUAAACUGUUAGUAUCCCAAUUUUCUGAGCCCAUGACAAAAGAGAGUUUUCAACAAUGCAAGAAUUUUUUGGUACAAAUGGGCAUAACCCAUGAAAUGGACAUUUCAUAGUUUCUACUAAGGUUUCUGUUAUGCCAAUAACCAUAUAGAGAUAUGUUUCCUUCUGUAGUUUUAAAUGUUGAAAUAUAGCAGCUAUUUUUUUCUCUUAUGUACUUUUCUACCUUGUUCUUAGUUAUAUGAUUAUGAGUUUUGAUAUGUUUUGUUACAAAACCAGAGAUUGCUUAUCUUUGUCAAUGUGCUGAUGAUUUCUCAAAUGUUUGUUUUUGCAAACAUGCCUUCUUUGAUGCGACAGUCUUAAAAAGAUUAAGAUCUUUAAAGGCGUUUAUAAAGUGCAUUUAUUGUUCCCUGUCGGAAUGAAUACAUAGUAUGAAUUAGUUCUAUGCACUAUUGUUACUUUGGUGAAAGCAGAUUAAAAGUAAAGCAGGCGGUAUUCGGAAAUGAUUAAGCUAGAUUUUCUCUUUUUGCAACGAAUUGAGGAUGGGUUUUUGUUACCAGGCAUUCUUGUCGAAACUCCAACACGUUGUAUUCUAAUAUGGAUUAUUCAACCUAGUCUGACAGAGUUUUAGUAAUGACUACUAGGGAGUGAAAUGGAUGAAGCUGAGCUGUCAAAGUGGUUUGCGAGGUAUCAACUGGACACUGAGCAGGGGAAAGUUGUGGUGAGCUUUGAAUCUUGUUUGUCUGUGUAAAAGUUCAUUGAUGAUUGUAGGAAUAUACUAAAGAUAAUUUUCUAAGAUAUGCAGGUAAAACCAACACGAGCAGGAUCCAGUAUUGGAGUUACAGUGGCUUAUGGAGUUACAGACACUCUUCAAAAAGCUAAUGCAAUUAUUUCAGAGGUAAUCUGUUGUUUUCUAUGUUUCAAUUUUUUGGACAUGUCUUGCUUUUUAAUGGCAAGCAGUUAAACCUUUUUUUUAGGGUUAAUCACAUUUUAUCUCUUUAAAAAUACUCAAUUUCUCAGUUUACCCCCUAACCUUUAAUUUUGCUCACUUAACCCCUUUAGGACAAAAUUGCCCUUGCAUUAUUUUGACUUUUCAUUUACCUUGUUUUCCUUUCUUUUAUUUCUUUUUCUCUUUUUUUCUUUAUUUAAUUCUUCCUCUUUCCCACAAAAAUUUUCACCUUAAUGAUUGAAAUUAAAAAAGAUGAAUUGCAGAGAUCUAUCUUCUCCUUAAAUGAUUAAAAAAAUAUUCAAAUCACUUUCCUAAAAUAAAAUUUUUUUAGCCUUUCAAUUCUUUUAAUUUUGGAUUUUUCUCUUUCCUUUCUAGUUUCUCAUUUUAUUCUCAAGAAAAUAUCAUAAGAUGAAAUUGUUUUGCUUUCUUUUAUUUCUUUUUCUCUUUCUUCUCUCUUUCAUCCUUCCCAAUAGAAAUUCCAUUUCAACGAAAAUUUUUGUUCUGAGUUUUUAAUUGCAUAUUUCUGGGUGAAGGUUUAAAAGGCAUCAAAAACUAAUUUUGAUUUUUUGUAUGAUGCCACGUGUCACAAAUUUCAAUUGAUGAUUAUUAAUCAGGUCACAAUUUCAUCUUAAGAUAUUUUCUUGGGAAUAAAAUGAGAAACUAGAAAAGAAAGAGGAAAACCCAAAAUUAAAAGAAUUGAAAGGCUAAAAAAAUUGUAUUUUAGGAAAGUGAUUUGAAUAUUUUUUUAAUCAUUUAAGGAGAAGAUAGAUCUUUGCAAUUUCUCUUUUUUAAUUUCAAUCAUUAAGGUGAAGAUUUUUGUGGGAAAGAGGAAGAAUUAAAUAAAGAAGAAAGAGAAAAAGAAAUAAAAGAAAGGAAAACAAGGUAAAUGAAAAGUCAAAAUAAUGCAAGGGCAAUUUUGUCCUAAAGGGGGUUAAGUGAGCAAAAUUAAAGGUUAAGGGGUAAACUGAGAAAUGGGGUUUUCUUUAAGGGGAUAAAAUGUGAUUAACCCUUUUUUUUAUUAUUAAAGAUAUAAAAUCAUAUAGAUUGUGUCAUAAGAACUGCUAGAGUUGAGCAUCACCAGAAUGCGUGCUUUUGUGUCUUUUGGCCUAUAUCAUGUCUAGGACCUCUAUCAUGAAAUAUUAUAUGUGUUAUUGUGAAUUACAGCUUUGGAUCAUUAUAGCCUGUCAUGUUGCAAUAUCAGUUUCUGUUUUUCACAGGGAAUAGAUGAUAAGGUCCUUGUUGAAAUUUUUCUUGAAGGUGGUAGUGAGUUCACAGCCAUUGUCCUUGAUGUGGGUUCUGAUUUGAAUUGCCAGCCUGUUGUGCUGCUACCAACUGAGGUAAUGGUCCUUAAGUAUAUAUUUGCUCUCUGUGUUGUUUUGCAAUCUGGGCUUUAUGAUGAUUUGCAAGUGGAAAUUCAUAUUUGCUGAUUUUAAGUUAGUGUAAACGUUUGCUGGGUUUUUCAUUCCCUUUUGUUUUUGGGUGCCUAAUAUCUUACAAUCAAUGGUUUGUAUACCAACCAGGAUAGGAAAACUUGCUUCAUAAAACAGAGAGGUGAAUUUUUGUUUGGUUCAUUUAUGCAAAAUGUUGCUGCAUGGAGUUCCAAAUGGGUUGGAUUGACUAUUUGGUUUACCCCUUCAAGGAGAAAUUUAAAACUUGCUCAUAUUGAGUUCUAUCAGUAACUUUUGUGGUGUAAUAUGUAUAGAUUAAUCUUUGCGUUGAUCUGACUGCACAUGAUUUAUUGCCUCUUUUGAUGUAUCUCCACUUUAUUUGAACCUUUGGCUUUCUAGGACUUUGAAAUCCUAAAUAGAACUGUUCCCUAAACAACAGCAGAAUUAUUGGCUCAUUAGCUGCAAAUGAUUAGGACUCAUUAAAACACAUGGUUAUAAGGUCAAAGAAGGAAUGGCUUAGGCUACAAGUACAGAAAAUAAGAGUAAGAAAUUUAAAAGAUUGGGAGAAGAAAAAAAAAGAGAGAAAGAAGGUCCUUUGAAUUCCUCUCAAAUAAGCAAUUUAGCAAAGGUUUAAAAUCUCUAUGACAUUUCUUGUAUCACAGAAUUGAAAUGCCUGUAUCUGGGAGUAAGGAUCUUACUCAAAACUGUGCUCACUUGAUGUGCAAAAUGAGCAUUCCUUCCCUGAAAAAGUUUAAAAUCUACCCUCUUAUUCAAGGAACUGAAAUUCGUGGUCUAUUCUAUACGUGAUGAAAUUGUUCUAAGAAACUGGAUUCCAAAAGUAUGUUUUAUCAGAUUAGUUUUUCAUUUGUUGGCUAGGUAAUGUUUGAGUCACUGGGCUCUAUCCUUAAGUGGUGAUACUGUAUUUAUAUAUUUCGGCCACCAUUAUCUGCAAAUAACUGCCUGCUUAUUUACUGGUUGCAAUGUGUUGCAUCUACAACCAGGUGGAGCUUCAAUCUUUUGGGAACAUUGAUGUAAGUGACCAGGAUGCAAUAUUCAAUUAUCGCCGAAAGUACCUUCCUACACGGCAGGUUAUACCCAGACUGGUUCUAACUAUAUACUUUAGAAAUUCUGUUGGUUUCACUGUAGUGUAUAUAUUAAUUUAAGAUGUAUGUGAUAGCUGCCUCCAUUCUUGCUAAGAUUUGUUUUCUGUUCUAGCUUAUCUUCAGCCUUUUUCUUAUUGAAGAAUAUUCUGCCUUGUAUUGGAGAAUUUGAAAACACAUUUUUUGCUCCUAGAAUUUAUCUAACUGACCAUGAAAUUUUGUAGGUCACUUAUCAUACUCCACCUCGUUUUCCACUGGAUGUCAUCAAAACCAUUCGAGAAGGAGCCUCAUUAUUAUUUAAGCAGCUUGGCCUGCGUGAUUUUGCUAGAAUUGAUGGUUGGUUUUUGCCACCUUCUGUUAAUGCCUCAUAUUUCCCAGAGAAUAAGUUUGGAAAGUCUGAGUUGGGAACUGUAUUAUUUACUGAUAUCAACUUGGUGAGAGAGCUAUUUAAUGUGCUUCAAUUUUGGAUAUUGCUAUUUAUUUUUAUACUUAAAUGUGAUUUUUUCUUUGUUGUGCACCUCUAGAUUAGUGGUAUGGAGCAAACAAGUUUCUUAUUUCAGCAAGCAUCAAAGGUACUAUUUAUCUGCUGUGUGAUAGUUUUAGUGAUAAAGAGAAAGUUGCACCAUCUUGUGAGUCACUUUUUGGGUUCCCAUUAAACUUAUUUGAUAUUUUUUGUCUUACAAAGUUAUAUCGAUUUUAUUUUACUCGCACAUAAAAUUAUUCUCAGGAGAGAUAUAGUAUUAUGGAGAAACAAUAAAUGUUUUAAUUCAUCUUUAAGACUGGAUUAUUUGCAUUAUUCCUACCAUGACUAUCCAAUUUAGGACUUACCUUCACCACAAAGUUGGAAGAUUUGAAAACCGAUUAGUAAUCUGUAGUUACUCACAUUGUAUCUCUUCCCGUCAGAUGAUUUAAGAAUUGAUGAGGAACAUGGAAAAGUGCCCAAAUGCCAACAGAAUUAAGAGAAACUUUGUUAUUUUAAUUAUAGAUCUGUUCUACACCUCUAUGUUGUAGCACAUUAGUGCCUUCCCAUACCUUUUCUUACCAGUUCAUUUACUCGGAAAAAUUGAUUGAGGAAUUAGAAUAAGAUGCUAGACUAUGAUGUUUAAGUUAUCUUUUGAACUUGAUGCCUCCUGCACGGGAAAUUUGCAGUUGCCAAAGGUUCUCUAUACCCUUUAGAAUGUUAAUUGAAACAGCAAAGAAUAAUUAAAUUCUUUUAGUGAUAGUACAUGAUACAUUUGUGCCUGCUCUUAUCUUCCGAUUAAUCUCAUUAUGUUUAGGUUGGCUUUUCCCACUCAAAUAUCCUUCGGACAAUUAUUCAACGUGCUUGCCUGCGAUUCCCCAACCUUUUGACAUACAAUAUCAUAUCAAAUACGUCAUCAAGGAGAUUCAAAUCUUUGCCAUCCACGGGAUCACUUCCUGUAAAUCCACAUGCCAGAAAAGUUUUUGUUAUCUUUGGUGGAGACACUUCUGAACGACAAGUAUCCCUGAUGAGUGGAACCAAUGUUUGGCUGAACUUGCGAGCUUCUGAUGAUGUAAGUGACAUAUUUUACUUACACUUGUUCAUGUAACAAACAUGUAUGUAUUUACUAGGCUAUUAUUGAAAUCCAAUAUGGUUCUUAAUUUCACUCCCAACUAUCACAAUAUAAAUGUUCUGCCAUGCUCAACUUUGCUGUUUAGAGGUUUAUUUUUAUGUAUGCAGCUAAACAGUGGAAAUACAGGCAGUUAUGAAGUGUUAGUCAUUUUUAAUGUUAUUAGCUCUUUUUACUUAAGCUGCAUGUGUUCAGUUUACAUUCACUUGGCUGGAUAUAUUUUCUGUUCAGAUUUACAUACCAAUUUUUCUUCUAUUUUGAGUUACCAACAUUUUGUCAUGAAUAGUUAAGUGACAUGUAUUAAGCUACCUUCAUUGAAUAUAUAGUUGAUUGGCCCUAGAUAACUGAAAAAAGUUAUCAAGGCUCCAUCUAAUCCUCAAGAUGAGCCGCUUUUUUAACAACUCCCUAAUCCUAGUUGUAAAUAUUUCUCUGUAAAGCUUGCCUUACUAAUUCUUUAAGAACUGUAGCAGAAGGUUCCUCUAAUUCCUGAACACCAAAUGAAAAUCUUUCUUUCUCUUUGUUUAACGUUGCAUUGAAAUCUCACUGAAACAAUAGCCUGUACACUAAAUCCACCCUCCAUAAAGCUCUAUAUCUUCAGAUACUAGAGUUGUUAAACAGUCAGCUUUGUUUGAUUAUUUUUUAAUGUUUCCUUUGAUAACUUGCAUAAUUUUGUAUGUCAUUCUCAUUCUCAUAGAUGGGACUGCUCUGUAUCUACUGAUCAGUUGGUUCCUUAGAAACAGUGGUACAUCGAUUCUAGUGGUUUGAUGAUGAUCAUUGUUCAUCCUCUUUUAGAUACUUGUUGAGCUCUCUAGGAAUAAUAUGCAAUUCUCAGUUAUAACCUUGAAAAGACUUGUCAAAUUGAUACAAGGAAGUUGUAACUAUAUGCCUCUUGCUGUAUUUUAUGGUACAUUCUGAUUCAUUAUGUUCCAGAGAAUUGUUAUAGCUUGUUGUUGUCCUGCAGUUUAGUGUCUUUUUUUUUUAAAUAUUAUCUGGAAUAUGUUGUAGACCUGUUUAUGCAAGUACGCUGUAUAUCAAUUAAUCUAUUGCUGCUACAGCUUGAAGUAACACCUUGUUUACUAGCCCCAUCAAAUGGUUAUUCAUCUGGCUUGGAAUCUACUGGGAAGGAAAUCAAAGUGAGCUCUAGGACGGUUUGGACAUUACCGUAAGCAAAAUAUUUUUUGCCAAUUUUAUUGGAGAGCAUAUGGUAUAAUUCUGUUGAUGGUCAACUUGUCCUUGUUUCUUCUUCUUUCUUUCUUUUUUGCCCUUUUCUGAGAGUUGUGAUAUUUCAUAUUUGAUGUGAUCUGAAACACCAAGAACAUGAUUUGAUAUGAUCUGAAACCAAGAACAUGAUAGGUGAUAAAUAACCUUGUCAUGGAUUCCAAAUUAUUCUUGAGUUGUCUAUCUGUGCCGUACUUUUUCAUGUAUUACCCUUGUGCAGUUACUUGUUCUUUAAACAUAAACUAGAUUUACCAUCUACCAUUGUAAAUUUAUGAUCAGCAUGUUUUCUUAUUGUUGUUUUUUCCUUUAUGUGUUCUUAUGAUGGUAUUGUUGAUAUGGUAAACCCCUACCACCCCUUAUCUGGCCCAAAUUGUAGGGAACUUUAAGAAAGAAAAGAAGCAAGCCCUAGCAGAAUCUAGAGUUUUUAAACCAACCCAAAAUGCCUUGAGCUGUCUUUUUUAAAUAAUAUCUCAAUUUAUUUGGUUGCAGGUAUUCCCUUGUUCUUAGACAUACUACAGAAGAAGUUCUUGAUGCAUGUAUUGAGGCAAUAGAACCCACACAAGCAGCAUUGACAUCUCAUUUACGUAAACAAGUAAUGGAUGAUCUCAUGGAAGGAUUGAGCAAACACAAUUGGUUCAGGGGAUUUGAUAUUUCUGAUGAUUUACCAAAGAGACUUUCCUUGGAGCAGUGGAUCAAACUGGCUAAGGAAAUUCAGGCAACAGUUUUUAUUGCAGGUAUUGAUGCAAAAGCUAUUCACUGCAUUUAAUAAAUAAGAUAAUGACAGGUACAAUGCACUUGUUCCUUCAGAAACAAAGUUCAGUGGGUGAGAAACAGUAGAAUGGGAGACACCUCAAAACCCUUGUUCUACAUUAGCUUUAAUCAUUUCUUCCUCUUUUGCCAUUCCUUCUACCAUGGCUCAUUCAACUUUCUGAUUUCCUGAUCAUGUUUGCUGCUUACCCUGGUAACAUGACUAGUGAAUCUAACAAGAUUGGAUCAGAAAAAUACAUUUAAGAGUUAGCAUUAGCUCAGUUCAAAGUGUGAAGGUUUUAGAAAUAUGUCUUCUUUUCCAGAAGAGAUAAUCUAUCAAAGAAUUUAUAUUUCUGUAGACAUACUAUUCAACUAAUAACAAAUGUGGAGAAAGUACUAUAUGCUGAAGAUAGACAAAUAAGUUGGUUCUGUAUGUUCAAACUUGAGUUUUUAGUAUGUUUAAGAACUCUAACAGAGCUCUUCAAGUUAAGUCCAGUAUGGAAGCAAAAUAGAAAUACUCAUUUCUCAAGAAUCUAGUCUGCCUGUACAGCAUUUUAUUGAGUGGUUAUUUCAGAUUAUCAUUUCCAGAGAUUAAUAUACUUUUGGAAGGGGGCUAAUAGUACUUCAAAAGAUCAGAGGGAAUUUUGUCCAUAGCAUCCUCAACUUUUUAUAUCAAUUGACAUGUCAAAGACACUAUAAGGUUCCUAAGAUCUAACUCGCGUUGUGUAUAAUUUGAUAGUGCAUGGAGGCAUAGGUGAAGAUGGUACCCUGCAGUCUCUGCUAGAAGCUGAAGGAGUUCCUCAUACUGGUAAUGUGAUGCUGAUGUUUGACAAUGUAGUGUACAAGGCUUCUGAUGUCCAUGACUGUUACAAUAAAUGAUCAUGUACUAUUUUUGAAAAUUGAAGGUCCAGGAUUGACGGCUUCCAAAAUAUGCAUGGACAAAGUUGCUACAUCGCAUGCCCUUCAAAAUGUAUGGUAACUAAAUUGAUAAGUCUCAUUGAGUACUCGCUAUUCUUGUGUCUCUGGGGUUUCAGUUCUGUAUUUGCAGUUGUAAGGCCAUCGUUUGCUUCUUGAUGCCUUUAACUCGAUUCAUCCUUUGGGCGCAUCGUUUAAUGGUCUUAUCUUCUAGAUUUAAUUUUUUUUUCUUAAGCCAAUUGGUGAAUUGGAUUCUCAAUAUGGUGAGGUCUGUGAAGGGCCAUAUUAUGGCCUUACCUCUACAUGAGAUAUGCUUUACUGCAUUAAGCCUACAAGGAUUAAUAGAGAAACCUUCCUGGUGAUAUGAUGUUAAGAACAAUUCCUUCAGAUUGCUUUUAUGCUACAAGUGCAUUUGCAUCAACGUGUUGAACUUCUUAAUUUACUACGGAUGGACAGCUUAAGGAUUGUGGAGUCCUUACAAUCAACAAAGAAGUGAGGAGUAAAGGAGAUUUGCUGAAAAUACCUGUACUUGACAUUUGGCAAGAUCUGAGAGCCAAACUUCAGACUGAAACAUUAUGUGUUAAACCAGCAAGAGAUGGAUGUUCUACGGGGUUGCAAGAUUAUGGUAUGUUACCUUUAUUUUAUUUUAUUAUUUUCCACGUACAUGCAGAUUCUAGAAUUCAUAACUCAUGCCUGCCAUGGUAUUUGGUUGCUUUAUUGUCAUUACAUUGUUUCUUCAUACAGCUGUGAUAAGGACCUUGAGGUAUACGUGAAAGCAUUGGAAGCCUGUAUUCCUCAAAUUCCUCCAAAUAGUCUGUCAAAGGUACAGAUGCAUUUGCCUGAAGUCAUCUUUUGUGGUUGUGGCUGUGCCAUUGAAGGUCUCUUGAUCUUGUUAUUCUUUUCCUUCCUUUGAGUAAUAAAUAGUUGUUAGUCAUUUGCUUCCAAGUUAGCUUUUGCCUAGACUUAUUUUCCAACCAAGAGUGACUUGUCACUUCAGAAUUUUGACUCUUAAUGGGAGUUAACUUUGUCAAAGACUGGUAAAUGAGGUUGGUGUCUCCUGAGAUAUGCAGAGUUUUUCAAUGAAGCAUUGUAGUCCACCUGGGCACAAAAUCUAAUCGUCCAGUGCAGAAGUUAUCGUUGCUGUUCAGACAGGAUAAAAUUUCAUCUGAGUGAACUUUUUCUUUGACUACAUAGGCACAUGGUAUGAUCGAGAUGCCAAACCCUCCUCCAGAGCUAUUAAUCUUUGAACCUUAUAUCGAGACUGAUGACAUAGUUGUUUCGUCCAAAACGAAGAACAAAAAUAAGCAACAUCUCUUGUGGGAAGGACGUAGUAGAUGGGUAGAAGUUACAGUUGGAGUUAUAGGAAAAUGUGGAUCAAUGCGUUCGUUGACUCCUAGCAUAACUGUGAAAGAAUCUGGCGGCAUUUUAUCACUUGAAGAGAAGUUCCAAGGUACUUCCCAAUCUUAUUUUCAUCCAAUUUUGGAUCAAAUAUGAGCUUCUGCUAUGUCAUCCGUUCUCUUUGGAGUUACAACAUUCCUCUAGUUAUACAAAGUGAGAGUUUUGCAUGCAAACAUUCUUAGUUAUGAUGCAAUUACCAAAUGCAACUUGCAUCCCAACUCUCCGGGCACCUAUCUAUGUGCAAGCGAGAUUGGGCAUUUAUGUUCCUAUUUACCAAGGUUUAUGUAAGUUAAAAUGUAAUGCAGCAACAUCGCGUACAUUGUGCCUUAAUGAAGCAUAGCAGGUGUGUAAUGUUGUUAAUUAUUCUUGGCAGGUGGAACUGGCAUAAAUUUGACUCCACCACCACUUUCAAUUAUCAGGUUCUUUAUCACUUCUCAUUUUUGUAGAAACUGUAAUAAUUGAUGUGUUGGCUGCUUGUGAUCUGCUAGAGUGAAAUUCCUACUAAAUUAAAGUACUGGAAAAGUCCGUGAGGAAUUUGUUAUUACACUUCAAGGAUGGUAAUAAAAACCAUAUUCAGGAAUUGACCAUUAGAUUUCAGAUUGUAUUAGUAAAAGCUGUAUGUAGAACUUUUAUAUCCCAGGGGCCUUAGUGUUGUUCUAGGCAGAGCUUGAUUCCUAGGAAAUUAACAAGCUUCUUUAUGUAUUUUGAUGAGCUCAAUCUAAAAAUUUUGCAGGCCGCAUCUGUUCAUUUCUCACUUUUUGUUCAUUUGCAUGCAGUUGUGCACAUGUAUGGGGCUCUACACCUAUCUUAGGAAUAUCUGAUCAGAUUUUGGCCCAUUCUUUAAAAGAUUGAUUAUUUGUGGGUGUUCGUGCUUCUGCUUACUGUUUUGUUCCUUGUGUUGAUGCUGUUUACCUUGUCUCAGUAACGAGGCCCUGGAGAAGUGUAAACAGCGUAUUGAACUUAUUGCAAACACACUGCAGUUAGAAGGAUUUUCGCGUGUUGAUGCAUUUGUCAAUGCCGACAGCGGUGAGGUAAUAUUUACUUUUGUUGAUUACGCUACAAACUAUCUCAGCUCUGUUUUUCAUGACGCAUGCUGAAUUUCCGAAGCAGUAUUGAGAACGUUUCGAUCUGGAUUAGCAUGUAUAACAUUAUUAAUUUGGCGAUACUGGUAGUAUAUCCCGCUGGUCUCCUCCUCUACGGCUGCUAGUAAUUUUGUGAAAAGCAAAUAUCAUUCUAGGAAGGUUCUUGAGUUGCAUGUAAUAAAAAAAAUGUUGAUAUGUGACAUGAAGAGUUGUUUGGAGUCGCCUUCUAAUUGCGCGAGACUAUUCCAGGUGCUGAUUAUUGAAGUGAAUACGGUGCCUGGGAUGACACCUUCAACCGUGUUAAUUCAUCAGGUGAUGGUUCCCAAUCAUAAACAAUCAUGGCGUUAGUUACUUAUUAAUUUCUGUUUGGGAAACAUGAAGUCGUAGGUCAACCGAGGAAGGAACUUGAAAGGAAUGCUUAAAUCUCCUUAGUAGUUCUGCAUCGUAGUAAAUCUAAUCAGUCAGUUUUGUCCCAUGGUCAGGCACUGGCAGAAGAACCUCCCCUGUAUCCUCACCAGUUCUUCCGCACGCUACUGGAUCUGGCAUCUGAGAGGUCAACCUGAUUUGGUCGUUGAUAAUCUGCAGACUCUUCACGCAUGAAAAUUUCCAAAGACCAUUUACAGAAUUGGAAAAGAUGAUUUUUCCCGGAGGGAACAUCAUUUGCAAGUAACGGUGAAAGGACUUUUUGCCAUUUUGUAUUGAUGAUUAUGUCUGUUUAGAACCGUAAUGGUAUGUCGUAAGUUGCGCCAUCUAUUUUCACGUCCGAAAGAAUAUCCAACGGCUGUUAAGAAGUACUACAAUACUCUGAAAAUAAAAUAAAACAAAACAAAAAAUACACAGAAGGAUCAGUCGUUGUAGAGACGCUGUCAAGCCAUCUCUACAAUGAUAAAUGCUUGGAACUCCCGACCACCAUACCCUCGUCUAACGUCUGCGUUUGAGCAAGUUAUAAAGUAGUUGUGUGGAAUGACUGCUGCCUGAGCUACAUCGUGGUCUCGGGGUAAGUUUACUAUUCAAGCCGUGUGUUUGAACAAUCUCGAGUAAUUGGGUCCAUUGGCCAAGUAUGAUUUGCACCCUAUAUAUAUAUAUAUAUAUAUAUAUAUAUAUAUGUAUAUUCUGUUUAUAUCAUAAACAUAAUUUAUAAUUGUUUUAAUUUCAUAUAUAUCAUAUUAUAAAAAGUAUUAUAUUAAUUUUUUAAAUAAUUUUUCCAAGUACGGUGUCCCUUGAGUGGGUUGUAACCACUAUACGGCUGCAUGGUUUGAGAUUACACCCAAUGCUUUUCUAACUUCUUUAAUGACAUGCACAGACCCUUUUGUUUUUUAGUAUAAGUGAGUAGAUUUCAAUCCGAGAUCUCAUAUUUACAUGCAUUCUCUCGAACCACACAACUAACAAGUAUUCAAAAUAAACGUCAUUCUUUUGUAGGAUUCAACGUGGGCUUGGUAAUACUUUGUAUCUAAAACUUAAGAAAUUUGACCAUAUUAGACUAGGUGGGUUUACUCCCUCUUUCCAAAAGAUUAAAGUGCUUCUGUCAUGGGCGUUAAACAUCCCUUUAUUCUGAAAGAAGGGUUUGACCUUAGUGCGUAUCAUAAAUGUCAAAUUCAUAUAUUAGACUGUAAAGGAACUAAAGACAAUUUUCUUUUCUUGUACCUUGUCUAAGCACUUAAUGUCAGACGAUAGUCUAUUAGCGCUAUUAACAAUGAAUUUUGUUCACCACUGGUAUUUUCAUUAUUAAUUAGGAAAAAUUAUUCAAUACGUCUUUCACAUUUCGUCAAAUGAAUUUUUUUUUAAACUUUUUAUUUAAAAUAUUAACAUUACAUCCCUUAUAAAUUCAAUUUUAAUAAAUUUAGUCCUAACCUAAACUGACAAUCACUUUUUAGCCUAAAAUCACCAUAUGAUCCACAUGCAAUUAUUUUUUAUGUAUGAAAAGGCCAAAUUUCGCUUUUUUAGUAACAAAAAUGAAUAUGGAAUGGGUCUGAUCCCACUUUUUUAGGGAAAAAAUGAAUAUAGUUUUGGUUAUAUCCCACCUUUUUAUGAAUAAAAAUGAAUAUGGAUCGAAUCAUUUAUUUAACUAUGAAGGGCAUCUAACAUUUGUGCCGCUAAAAAAUGAUCAUGUGUGAAUCAUGUGAUUGAUAUGGUAUAAAAAGUAGUUAAAAAUCUAGGUUAGAAUCAAAUUUUACCGACUUAAUUUUGUAAGGGACGUAAAGUUACCAUUUUAAAAGUGAAGAAUAAAAUAAUUUAGUUGGCGAGAUGUGAGAAACAUUUUAAACGAUUUUCCCUGUUAAUUAUGAGAUGUCUGAAAAUCUUCAAGUUAUAUAAUUAGACAAUUUUGCCUUGGACCUAUCGGUUUUAAUUGAAUAAAAAGACUUCGAUAAAAGGCAGGUUUUAGGUACGUGAAUCACUAAUUCUCCAUUCAAAUAUUUCAGAUGGUACACUUAGAUAAUCUUUUAGAUUUUUAACCAUUUAUCCAUAAUUCAAUGGACGAAAAAUGGAGACAGCUUCAUCAUAUCCUUCUUAGAUUGAUAUCCUACCCAAUAUAUAUAUAUAUAUAUAUAUAUAUAGCAUUGGUACACAACGCGAGCCAUCUUUAAUAUAUAUAGCAUUCUGAACUAUAGCCAUCUUUAACUUUAAACGAAACAUCGAGCAUUUGGUAGACGUUUACUACUAGCUAAUUAUUUUCAUUGGUACACAACGCGAGCAUUUUGGUUGAGGCCAUUUUGUUUUUUUGCCAACAUUGGGAGUUUUCUUUUCUUUUCUUUUCUUUUUUUGUUUUUUGGUUGGGGUUAACUGGUAAUAUUCAACUCGUGCAAGAAUAAUACCCCAAUGCAUUGGUUUCUCCAUAUGAUUUACAUCAUUACGUGAUAAAAUAUUUUACAUCAUUACAUGAUAUAAUUAUUCGUAGGUGUUUUGAAGCAGCCUAGUGGAGUACAUUGACAAUUCACAACUCCUCUCAUCUCCGGGCGGCUAUGUCGAAUUCGAACCACGAGACUGCAGGAUCAGUCAGAUGGCAAGCAUAAGACCUGGCAAAGAGCGUUUGGCGAGGUCUCGGGGGUGGCUCUGCCAGAAUUUUGAGGAGGAGCAACCGCCAGCCACGGCCACGGGCCUUAAAUCUGCAACCGUGAGCCAGGUGUUGAAGUACUCCCUGAACUGAGUUAUGAGACCGUCUUUGAGGGUCCAAACGUGUACCCAGUAGGCCUGCACGCCUUCCCAACCCUCCACGAUCACGUAAUCGUCAAUGGCAUCCAUGCUUCGAGGAUUGAAACUGAAAGCUUUGUGCGAUGAUUUCCCGGUGAGCAUCUUCAUCAUGUGGUGGCAGCCUUGAGGGCCGUGGAACCACCAUUCUAGGUCACUGGCAACAAAACCGGCCACCUUCCCGAUUUCGCCACUUGCCAAUGCUUUGUACAGGGCCUUAACGGUGGCUUCGUUACUGUUGUUUGGCUCUAAAACCGAUAUCUCAGGUUCCUUUUCGGCCAUUGAUCGUAAAAGUGUUUAAUUGCGAAGAAGGAAGAGAAGAGGGAUCCAAGCUAGAUAAUAGUGGUAAUGCUGUGGCCUGUGGGUUCUUUUGAACAAUGUUUGUGUUAUAUGUGCAUGGAAGCUGAGGAUUGAGAGAUGGUAGAACAUUCAUUAUAUAUAGAGGAAAACUAAGAAAUAUUAAGGGGAGACGAGGUGUGGUGUGGUGUGGGACCAUCCAAACCCCCACGCCCCACCCCCAACUCCCCACGGGGCGGUCCCAGGGGUUAUAAUUAAUGAAGGUAAUUAUAUUAAGACUUAUUUUCUUGUCUUGUUGUUUGGGGUAAUUCUAAUUAGCAUCUUCGCUCGCAGUUGACGGAGAAAGGCAAAAAGAAAGUUAUGUGUUCCUGAAGUGCAAGCGUGAAAGUAGAAAGAUUAAUUAACGCUAAACUACAAAUUAACUCCGCCCGAGACCUUUGUUAGAUUGUAACGGAACCACACACACAUCCAGAAGGACCAUUUCUAGUUAUAUAUCUAAGUAGGUACGUACCCUUUUUUAUAGUCUUGCUUCUUCUGAUUAAUUAUAUAGUCUAGGAAUUAGAGAUUAAGCAAAUCUUGGAGGUUGGUCCAUGUGGCCCUUCAGCUAUAUAUUUUACCUGCAGGCUUAAUUUGCUCGCUCUACCUUUGUUAAAUUAUCUAGCGUCACGAGAUAAUACUAGGACCUUUUGUUGGCUAACAACAACAACUAAUACUAGCUCCUUUUCGACAGCGGCCUGUAGCCUCUUCAUGCUAUGUUUCAAUUUACAAUGUCAAAAAGAGAUUUAGUCCACGUUUUUAGCUUACAUGCUAGGUUAACACACACACACACAUAUAUAUGUAUAUAUAUAUAGAGCAGUAGUACUACUGAAAUGACACUACUGGGUUUUUUUUGUGCCACCACCAAUGUUAAAGUCCUCCCUCUCUUCCUCCUCCAUGCAUGCGGACUUAACGUCAAUGCCAUAGUACGUACUUGCUUCGUCUUCGUCGUAGCAUACAAAUCUUUCAUUACGCUUGCCAUGUCUGAGCUGCUAGCUGCUCUUGCUGUUUCUGUUGCGCUGUUGCUUUACAGUCCGGAAGUUACUCUCUUUGGGAAUUUGCUUGCUCUCUUUUACUUUGGGGACGUACGAUGUUUCUUUCUUGGCAAAAGAUGGACUAGGAACGUAAACAAGUCCAAUCAAACUCAAAACACCAUCGUACUAAAAAGAGUACAAAUUAAUUUGAUUAAUUAACUUGUUACCUUGGAGCUCGAGCUUGUAGUAUUUAGAAACCCACCCAAAAAAAGUCCCUCAAUUACUACGACAUUUGCCCAAGUUGCUCGAUCGGACAGGUAGGGUUGAGGAUUAGGAACUAGGUAACAAUUCCACUCUGCAUCAAAUUUACGCGCAUUAAUUGGCAUGUCCUGGUGAAACUUUACUAUGGAAGCUUUAUUACCUUAUCUUUUCAGCAACUCAACCCUUUCUUCCCAGUGGAAAUUGGCAUCAAUAACAAUAUAUAAUGAAACGAGGCAUGCAACGUAAAUGCGUCGUCGCAUGCAUAACUUAAUUAAUAUUAUGCAGUUUUUUUUUUCCCUCUGAUCACAUGGGUGUUAUAUAUUCAUCCCGGGCAUGCGUGUGAUUGUGAUAACUUGGGAUGUUUCAAGAUGCUAAUGAGAAGUUAAUUGCCAAAAGUAAAUGUCCGAUCGAGGUGCAAAAUAGAUUAAUGUACAUGAUUGAUCGCAUAUAUUGAUCAAAUUAAUGACAGAUAUAAGGGCACAGGUAGGGCCAGCCACCCCUAAGCUUUCCAAAAUAUUACAUUUGCAGUUUUUGUUUUAAAUUAAAACUCCAUCAAUUUAUCCUCUCCUUUCAAGCAUAUUUGGGUUAUUAAUUUUUUUUUUUUAAAAAAAAUUUCUCCUUAAAAAAAGUGUCCUACGAUAAACUAACUCUACUUUCCUUAAAUUAAAAAGCGUCUCACAAUAAAUCAACUCUAGUUUCCUCAUAAUAUACGAUAAUUAUUUCUAAAUAUUGUCUUAGGAAAUAUUAAUUUCACUUAUGUAAGUUUCUUUGAAAAAAUGAAAUUUUAGAUUCUUUAUACGAGUUCAGGAAAGGAAAACAUUAUGCAAAUAAGAAACAUAUGACAAUGUCAAAGGAAAUUCAAUAGUUGCUAAAAAUUCUAUUUAUACAUUAUCUAAUUGAAAUAAGAAAAAAAAAAAAAAGAGAGAGAGAACAGUGGAUAUAUUAUGUACAAGUGAUCAGAAGCCAACUGCUAAAACCAUGAAUUACUUGAUCAACCACACAUCAAUCAUUGAUCUUUCCCAAUUUCGUUCAACUCAUCUCAACGUCUACUUUUCCUAUUGGCGUUAAUUUUUUUGAACUUAUACUCAUUUUAAGUUUGUCAUUUAGAAUUUUUUUGAUGAUUAUUAAUUUGUCAUUUAUUCUUAGUCUAAUUUGUAUCUUAGAAUUUUAGUCUUAAUUUGCAUAGCCUUAAUGUGAUCUAUAGAAUUUAGUUAAUUUUUGUAUGAUUUUGGCCGUGAGUUAAUUUUAUCUUUUAUAGUCAAACUUAUGAAAUCAAAUUAUGAACUAUUUUAGGUUAUAAGACAGUAAAAUAAAAAUGCCUCCAAAAAUGAUUGAUUUUCAUUUUUUUUUCGGGCCAAACAAACCUCGGAUAUAGAAAAGGCGUCUCAUUAUGAGAAAACUCCCCGAUCGAGUUACCUGAAGGAACUCCUCCGAUUGAUUGAGUCGUCUAGUUUCGUAUGCCUCGUAUUGAUAGGAAAUAAAGUAGUGAAGAGCGUAAUUUCAUGUUUUACUUUAUACAUCUUUGUUUGAUCUUUGUUUUACUUUCUUCUGACUCAGGCGGAGUCGGGCCGAAUUUCUGAAUUGUUUAAUCGUAUGCCUCCUCCAUAACGGGAACGAUUGCGACGGCUUAAUAGUUAAUUCCUCCGCACGCCAGUCUGGAGUAUCUUUUGAUUAUUUGACUUGGCAGCCAUCAAUACAGCCAAAACAUAUUUUUUUUUUUUGCAAAUAAUACAGCCAAAACUCGAUUUCAUCUCCAACACUUUCUUUCUUAUUCUCCUCCUUUGACGGUAGUGCUAGUAGUAAGUAUACUAUAACAUAAGAAUGACUCUCCUUCUUCAACAGUUUAUUUAAUAGUGGUACUGGUAGUAUAAGAUAAGAAUUGUUAGGUGCGAUAGGGCCUUUCUACUCAAUCAGUGACCACCAGGGAGAGUCUCAAGUCCCUUCUUGAACUGUUGGUGAGGGUUCAAAUUUUAUCUGCAGCAAAAAAAAUUCAAGAGUUGUGCCAUAGCGCUCCCUUAAUUUAGUAAGGUGGUAGUGUAAACUAGGAAUUUGUUAGGUGCAAAAGCUAGUUUAAGGAGUGAGUCCGAUAUGGGAUAAAUUGAAUUCUCAUCGGGAGGAGUUGUAGUGACCAAACUCUGAUCGUCAAUGUUGGAUGUUAUUGAACUUUUACACCCAAAACCAAGUUCAAAGGAGUGAGACUUUUCCUCCUCCUAACACUGAUAUCAGAGUUUGAUCACAACAACUUUUAAUAAUUCAUCUCAAAAGUUAGAUCAAGGAGUGAGAUUUUUCCUCGCAAUCAAACGCCCUACCUCUUCUAUAGUCGAUUUGAAAUAAAUCCAACAGAAAUAAACCAAACAAAAUUAGCUAUUAGAAAUUCAGAAAAUCCAAAAUUUAUGAAGGAAAAGAUGCACGGGUGUUACGUUUUUUCUUAACCUAAUAUUUUCUCUACUCAAACUAUUUGGAAGCUAAAUUGACAUGUAUUAAGCUUCUAAAGCUAUAAACUUGAAGUCCUCCUCUCAAUUAACAUGUACUCCGUUAACGUGAACUUAGAAAUUUGACAAAAAAUGACUUAGAAUUUUUAAAAAUUUAAGAUCACCGUUUAACCAAUCAAUUAACAAAAGUAACUUAGUAAUGUCAUAGAUAGGUCAUUGGCCCGAUCGAGUUCAAUGUGGUGGUUGGCCGACGGCAGCCAAAAUUGCAGAAUAUACACCCCCAAGAACAGCUGUAAGAUAAUGAAAACUGAAGCAAAAUCCACCCCAAGAACUCAGCAGACGUGGAUUUUGUAUAAGAAUCAGUACGAAAACAUUUUGUUACGAAAUGAAAUGGGCGUGUCUGCAUGAAUUCAUGCAAUCAGGGGAUGGUACAGUAUUGAUUAGGCUGAUGCUGGUUGGGAAGCUGGAUCCAACCAGGUGCCGCUCUUGCACAUACUUUGGACAUUCUCCAUUACUGGGCCCAGGCCCACCCCCACCCCCAGCGGGCUCUAUUAGAUUCACUUGCUCGAUCACGUCCCAAAUCUUCCAGCUUUCCUGCACCAGCCGCAUUAACUGUGAACUCCGCGUGGGAACUUGGCGCAGGGGAUCGAUGGUCACCUUUUCGUAUCCGGUGUCCCAUUAUUGAUGUACUAGCAGACUCAAGAAUGAUAAUUGUGGGCCUACAAACUAUGAACCCCACCAAAAUUCUGACCUUCCCUUUGAAAGUUGAAAGAGAGGCGCGUUAUCAGUAAACUCCGUGUAAUCUAGGAGUGUAAUUUAGGAGUGUAAUCGAGUCAAAUUAAAUUUAAAUAUUCACGUAUUUAAGUUCGAGUUCGAAAUCGACAUCAACUAUGUAACUAUCUGUUUGAGCUCGUCAAGCCCUUCAAAUGAAGACUUGAGCUCGACUCGCAUGUUACUCGAGCUGAAUCGAGCACCUAUUUUUUUAUAUUUUCCCGUCAAUAUUGAUUUCAAACCAGUUCCAAGCCAAAUGGAACUCAAAUCAGAUGAUUUCAAGCCAAAUUCAAACCGAAGUCUAUGAUUUUAAUAACCAAAGUUCAACAAAUUCAUAAAACAAAUACCAUGAACAAAUAUGUGUACUAUAAAGCAAGUAAUACAACACAAAUAUCUAAAGAAAAAAAUACUAAUCCAAUCAAAUAAAGUUGAAAAAUACAAAUCCGCCCUUCAAUCGGAGAUCCCUAAAACAACAAAGUUGAAAAAACAAAUAAAGCUUCAAUCUUGUAGCCUUCAACAAUCAAUACUCAUCACUUUGGGAUACAAGAUCUGAGAAGCCAAAGUUUUAGGAACUAGAAAAAAAAUUGAUUAAAGAAGAAGUUAAAAUGCCAUCAGACAUGAAAAUGAAGAAUAUGAAAAGAAAGAGUGGUCAUAUGGAAAUGGAUGAAGGGGAAAAAUAAUUAAGAAGAAGAAGGAGAAUUUUUGUAUAAAAGACAUACUCGUGAAGAAGAAAUAGUUGUAUUUGGAUAGAGUAUUAUUUGAAAUAAUUACUAUAGCACUUUUUGUUACUUGAUGUAUGUGAAAUAAAAAGUGGUUGGGAAUAUAAAAAGGUGGAUUGAGAAAUGUGUUUAUGAUGCAAGAGAAAUAUUAUUUGAAAUAAAUUUGCAAUCCAAACACACCCGAUAAGGGCUCUAUGUUUCUCUUCACAAAUCUACAUGUUAUGAGUAAUAUUAUAAAUGCAUAUAUGUUUAGUAUAUUUAAUACAUAUGCUCAAUUAAACUCGUGAGUACUAGAACUUAUUAUUUUGGAGCUCCAUCGAACUCGAUAAAAUCGAGCCGAGGCGAACAUUUUUCGAAUUGAAUAUCGAGUGGCUUGCUAGUAGGUUUGGUUCACUUACACCCCCCUAGUAUGGUUUGUAGUCCCUAUCCAGCUCUGCAAAAUCUAGAACAAUGGACCAACAGCAACUUCACAAUUCGUACGUGUGGGAAUUCUUAUUUACAUAGAUGUACACAGUUGUAUUCUGAAUGCAAUUGAAUUACAAUUGAAUGAUUAAAAGUUUAUUGAUGUGUUAAAAUGUUAUUAAGUUGCAUAUCAACGGAGAAGGUUUUUGUCUAGUGGGUAAAAUCAAAACACUUAGAGUUAGAAAUUUUGAAUUUAAAUUCCUACCCCUUUCCACUUCUUUAAUUACACCCGUCCUUUACUAGAAAAAAAAAUAUUAUAUAUCUACGAGACAUUCGUUGAUAUAAUUAAUUGUUUCAACCCUUGAUCCCUCUACACCUAUGACUUUGUGUGCUAGAACAUGAGAGGCAACCAUUUGAGACUACGUUCUUGCAAUGCAAUCCUUCUCUUUCCACUGCAACUCUUAAAUUGGACUCCCAUCUUCUUGUGUCCAAGGAGGGGAAAAAAUUUGCAAAUUUAGGUUUUCGGUUGCUGUUGUCCCUUUGCAAUUUGCAUCGCUAAUUUUCACAGGUUAGGAUAGAACCUCACAAAUCCAGAAUGUCUACGGUAACGGGUGCAACUAUAGACAAGUUUUACAAAAUUCAACAGCCGAAAUCGGCCCAACGGAUUGUCAGCUUUGAUGUAUUUUCCUUCUUGUGAUUUUAUUUUGCAUUAGCAAAUUGAACAUUAUUCAUUUAUUUAGCGAUAAGAGAAGGUCGUUCAAUAAAGAGAGUGGAAGGAAAAAGUCUAGAGUACUGAGAUUCGAGCUCAGCCAUCGGAUUUUAAUGAUUCCUUUCAAAGUUCAAUAACGAAACAAACGGUGGAUCACUGAAUUAUUCUUUGAUCAUACUUUUUUUUUUUUUAAAUCAAUCAUCACUUUAUCUACAGUAUCAUAUAUUAUCUUAAUCAUCACUUUAUCUAUCUUGCUUUUGAGUGGCUAGCUUUUGAGCAGAGAAGUGAGGUGAGCUUUGACUGGGAGAGGGGUGGGUGGGUUGGCGAAUCAAUCAAUCUGGAAAUAAAACCAGACAUCACACCUGCCUUCAAUUAAUAACAUAGUAGUAGUAGUACUAGCUAGUUCGAAUUCAGCCAAACUUGCCAGAUUAUUGUAGCUGGCGUGUCAAUUGACAUCAAACAAAAGGGGGGGGCUGAGAACGAAAAGGGGCAGAGGACUAGGCCAGAGGUCCCGUCGGUAAUCAUUGUUCGUCAUUCACGACCAUCAAUAAGUAUACUACUGCCUUUCGAUUUUCUUUCUAAUUAAUUGGCGACGUUAAUCAUUCUAAUAACUACCAAUAACGAACGAGCCGUCUCUUUCUCCACGUGUACUGUUUUAUUGGCGUUGACCGGGGGGGUCGGUCCGCACUUGUAUAGAUCCCCAUCCAUUGCAGCUGUCAAAUAAAAUAUGUACUAUUAGGUAACCACUGCCAAUUCACGAGUCAAAAAAAUGGACCCCAUUGCCUGUAUUAUUAUCCACCCUCAAAUCAAGCAAACUGUAUGCAAUCUUGUAGUUUAAAUGGUUUAAAGAGAGAACAAUAGACUUCUAGGACUGUAGUUUUGUGUAGAAAAAUUUUUACGAACAUAUUUUUUAAUUAUUUUUUAUCUGACAUAUAUCAAUAAUAGACUCGGUUGUGUUGUUGAUUAUACAAUCGGAGAAGUUGAAACAAGUCUUCAAGUUCUGGGAGUUGUAAUGGAAAGAUGAGCUUUGCAUACUUAGAUGUUCUGCAGGUGCUCUGGGAAAAAUGAAGGCCCGCAGAUCAUCAUCAGAGACUCAGAGUUCUGCCGCAGUUUAAUGUGGAAGUAUAUUGGUGCGCUCGGAGGCCCAUCAUCUAAGUUAGUAGUGUGCUGCGCCAUUUUGUUGGGCUUUAAUAAAAUGGGCUCUCAGGUCAUGAAGUCGUGAGAUCCUUCCGGAUUCUUCGCAACAAUCAAAUGUCCACUAGCGUAUAAAUUUUUUUAACAAAAAAAAAAAAGAAAAAGGAAAUUGCAGGGUGUCCAAUCAAACUAACGUAUGCUAGUAGGUUCGAGGCAUAGAAGGUAACGCGAUGGCAAAUAAUAAUCAAAAAGUGACCCCACAAAUGAGUUUAUACUAAUGAGUGUAGUAGUUAGUAUACACUAAUUAAUAUAUAGGUCGUGUUUGGACAAUGCCCGAUAGCAAUUGUGGUCCGCCAAGGAAAGAAGAGAUUUGUCUCGAGCAUAAUAUUAUGCUUAGGACUAACAAAAAGGAACUACUUUUAAACAUUAAAAAGGGGGGGGGGGGGGUGUGGUGGCAGCGGGAAAUGGGCGAGCUUAGUGGAUCAAGACGUUAGGCCACGAACAAUGGACAUCCUAUUGUCCAGCCUUUCCAACGCAAGGCAGGGCCCACUUUUCUGGUCGAAUGCAUGUUAGCACACUUGUUAUUUUGACGAGAAAACUGGAUGGCUAUUUGACUGUAACAAGUAGAAGAAGAAGAUUCCUCAUAUAAAGUUCAAAAAAAAAAAAAGGUGUGGAAUCUUGUCUAUUGUUAGUAUGCGACGAUGCAAGUAAGUAAUGCAUCUUGUCUAUUUCUGAGUGUUGUGUUGCAACAUGUACACGUGGAGUGGAUAAAGAAUAGGACGAAAUGGGCACAUAACAUAUCAUACAAAAGUGUUCCGGCGUUGAAGUUGACUUGUAUCUCUCUUCGAAUUCAUUCAUGGCAAGCGUAAGGCUGACUCCAUCAUAUCAUCGGUCGGAUGGUUUUGGUUUGCAAGUUUUAAUUUAAAGAUGGGUCAAAGUGGACAGCUUUGUUACAUCUAGAAAUCUCCGAAGCUGGACGAAUAACUCGGAGAACUAACAGCAACAUGUCUCCUUCGAUGAAGUCGCUCUGUUAACAAGUUUGUGAAACCAUGACAAAUACUAGUUGUGGUUCGUAUUCUGCUGGCAAGAAAUUGAAAGGGAUUACGAAUUCUGCUUGAUCGAUCAGACAGACCAGAUUUUAAGGUCAAAGGAGUGCGCACGUACCCAACAAAAAAAAAAAAUAGAGAGCGAGAGCAAAAGAAUUAGUAAUAAAACUGAUGAAUAACUAGUUAGGUCGAUGCAUGGAUUUUACAAGCCGAUGCAAUUUCUGGAGGUAGUAAUUCCUCCGUCCACCACAAGAUUGUGGCCACUUACAUAUCUAGAUUCAUCACUGGCCAGAUAGAGAGCAGCCUCCGCAAUAUCCGAAGUCCUCAGCGUCGCACCUUUCAAAUUUGCCAAACCUCUCACCAUUUCCUCCGCUUUUUCCACCGCUUCUCUGGCAAGUGCCGCCGACCCGUCGUAUUACUACUGCUCAUCAUCGUGGCCGCCGCAGCAUCUUCAUCAUCGUCAUCGUCAUCGUCAUUUUCAGCAGCAUCGAUAUGGGAGUUCCUCCAGGCAUUGAUCAGCAUCCGGGUGGCCACUCCAAACGGCGAAAUGCAAUUUACCCUGAUCCCGUACUUUCCCAACUCGCAAGCGGCGUUCUUAGUCAGCCCGACGAUGGCGUGCUUGGAGGCGGUGUAAGAAUGGGGGCCCAGGCCCCCAGGACGCUGGCAACGCUUGCGGUCGAGAUGAUGCAGCCGGUUCCCCUGGGAAUCAUCGCCCGGGCCGCGUGUUUCAUUCCCAGGGCCACUCCUCGAACGUUGACCCCCAUGAUUCGAUCAAAUUCCUCGGCGUCAAAAUCCACGAUGCUCUUCUUGUGCUUGGCCUGGCUUCCCAGAACCCCGGCAUUGUUGAACAUUAUGUCCAGCCUUCCGAAACCUGAAACCGUCGACUGGAUUAACUUCUCCACGUCUCCUUCCGAGCUGACGUCGCAGUGAACAUAGGUGACGCCAUGAGGAGACAAUGAGCCGGCCAGCGCAUGUCCAAGAACGUCCUCCACGUCCCCGAUCACCACCUUAGCCCCGUGUCUUGCAAACAGUCGCACAGUUGCUUCGCCGAUGCCCCUGGCUCCACCCGUCACUAUUGCUACCUUCCCUUCCAGCCUGUGAUCCAUUCAUUUUUUAUAUAUAUAUAUAUAUAUGUACGAACUAAGGAGGGGUGGUUAAUUCUUUUGAAAACCAUUAUUGAUUAAACUCAAUCAACUUAAUUGCUAAAUUUCAUGUCACGAAUUGAGUUAUCAUCAUCAUACGGUGCAUGAUGAAUGUAAAUGCAAUUACUAGCUAGUAGCAUGAGUGAGCGACGAGAGGGACAUGCAUGGGAUUAAUUUAAGGCACAUAAAUGAUGAGUUACAUAUAUAGUAGUACCUUCGGGGAGUGAAAGGAGCAGCGGUGCUCUCUUUGUUAAUCAGUGGCAAGUUUUUCUGAUCAGGCACCACUUGGGCAGGCAUGAUCGCGAGAUGAGAGACGAAGACGACGAAAUCAAAAGGAGAUUAUUUAUAAGCAGGACGAGCUAGAGCAAAAUGGAUAUAUAUAUAUAUAUAUAUAUGUAUGUAUUUUUUGGGGUGCAGUAGGUAAAUGGGAGGAAGAAGAUCAGAGAAUUUAUAGGGCAGAAGAGAAGAAUGCGAGGGGUAGUAUUAAACUUAAAGCAAGCAAGUGGGGAGGGAAGGGUGGUGGUGGUUGGGUGCUCCGCUUCAGUUCAGGAGGAUUCAGGCUUUGCGUUGCGUGGGUAACCAACCUAGCACUACUGGUGCUAGAGUGCAACAGGCAAGUUAAUUGGUAGUAGCAGCCAGUACUAGUCUUAUAUAUAUAAUAAUCAUCGUCCCAAUCAAUAUUCUGAUGAUUCCCAUUUCCAUCUUCCCACAGAGACUGACUAAUUUACGCUUUUUGGCUUGGGGUUGGGGAAUUGGGUUUCCCCUCACAACGACUCUUGACACGGCCUUCCUUCUUUUAACUUUCCCACUUCACACAUAUACGUAUAUGUAUGUAUGCGUCUUCAUUCUCCUUUCAAUUUCAAUGCCACCCUUGUGGCUCAGGGGUGCACACCAAUCGAGUAGCUUGAAUCGAGCUCGCGAGUAGCUUGAUUAGCUACUCGACUCGAGAUCGAUUUUGUUCGAUCUCAAAUCGAGCUCAAGUAGCUCGAGUAUAUGAAACGAGUCGCUCUCGAGUAGUUAGGAUGAGGCAUUUUUAGCUCGUCGAAUAGCUCGAGUAGGGGUGCAUGAUCAAAUCGAGCUCGAGUACUCGACUCAAUAUUGAGCUCGUGUUAAGGGUGUAGGAUGAAAUCGAACUCGAGUACUCGAGCUCGGACUCGAGUACUCGCACGCCGAGCUCAAUCGAGUCGAGUUCGAGCCUAUUUAUAUUAUUAUCGAGUCGAGCUCGAUCUUUAUUUCUCGAGCUCGAGCUCGAGCUCUGGAGGUCAGCAUCGAGUUCGAGCUCGAGUACGUCACUACUCGAGCUCGACUCGACUCGAUUUCACCCCUAUUGUGGCUUCACUGUUCUCCCCUUUUUCUGCCUAUUCUUUGCCGGUUGCCAGUCUUCUUCUUUCCAUCUCCCAUUUCGCAAACUUAAGUGCAUGUAUAUAUGUAUAUAUAUAUAUAUAUAUACAAAAUAUACAUACACACACAAGCACAUAUGCGUAUGCCGAGUGUUUGGAUAGUGUAUUAUUUGAAAUAUAUUACUGUAGCACUUUUUGUGAUGUGAUGUAUGUGAGAUAAAAAGGUGGUUGGAAAUAUAAAAAGGUGGGUUGGAAAAUGUGUCUAUGAUGCAAGCGAAAUAUUAUUUGGGAUAAUUGAGGUAUCCAAACAAACCUGCGAUUGUCUAAAAUGUUGUAAAGUUUUUGUCAGCUAUUCUUUCCAAUCCCCACUUUUUUGGGGUACUCGUGACUCGUGUCAAUCUUCUAGAUCAAUACUACUCCGUACAUCUUGAAUUAAUUUUCUGUUGCAGGUUGCAAUUUUUUACUCCAGGGAAAGGAGUCUUGUGGAUUUGGGUCUCCAUUUGUGGUUUUGUCGUUCGUUGAUUAUUCAUGCAGUCGACUCAUUUGGGGAUAUAUAUAUAUAUAUCUAUAAUUACAUGCGGAACCGAGUCGGCGUUAUCCAAAAAUGUCCUGUGCCAAUUACUGCGCCUAUUAUUACACGUAUUCUAUUUAACACAAACAAUACCUUUUUCUUUCUCCUAAAUAAAUUUUUUCUACACACACAUAUAUAUAUAUAUAUAUUCCGUGAUCUAUAGUAUAACAGAUACCAACAUUCUCAUUCAAUUUCUUUUUCGAAGAUGAAGUAGCAUUUCAUAUUGAUACAUUUCUCCAAUCAGCAUAUAUGCGUGUGCGUGUGCACCUCCAAAGCAGCUGAGCUGAUCUUACUAAGAGUUAAUACACCUGAGAUCCAAUGUUCGAGUCUUAUCAUAAAAAUGGGGAAUAACCCAACAAUCCGAAUAAGGGUUGGGGCCUAAAGUAGGGCUAAAUCCUUUUUUUUGACCAAAAAAAAAUAUAUAUAUAUAUAUAUAUAUAUAUAUAUAUAUAUAUAUAUAUGCGUGUGCGUGUCAACUGUCAAACGAGAACAAGUGAACGAGAUUUGCAUAUCUUUUGAGCAAAUAUUAUUAUACCAUUAACUCGCCAUUCUCAAGGAUUACAUAUAUCUAUAUAUAAUUUGCCAAUGGUUGACUGCGACACUUAAUGUGGUCAACAGCAAGUAAUCGAUAUUUAUCGUGUGAAUUUAGAGUAGGAUCUACUUUGCCUCUUGUACUAUAAAAUAUGGACAAAUAAGACAACUGUACUGAAUUUUUUAAUCCCUAAAUAAAUUACUUAAAUUUGGGGUUGAUAGUCCGAAUCUUCUUUUGUACAGGUGAGAGUGACUGAUUGCCAGCAGCGUUUUCUUCUCAUUUCAUGUACUAGCACAAUAUAUUCCAUAAAGCUUUAGCAGCUGAGGCCCUGAGGGGGUAAAAAAAAAAAAAAAAAGCACAAACCAAAAAUUAUUGCACUAAUUAACUGAUCAUGUAAGAAAAAUAAAAGCUAAUUAGAGGAAUGAUAGACACACUAACUAUUAAUUUUUGUAAUAAACCUGAUAUAAUCUAAUCCAAUUUUUGUCCCCGUAUAGUAUAGGUGUUUCCGUUUGUUUUUGACCACCAAGAAUCUUGUUGUUGGAAUCCAAAAGUCAUAUCCCUAACAUUCUCGUGCACACACCUCACGUACCAAGUUGAAACAGGGGUUCAAAAGUAAAAAAGUAGGUCGACACCAAUCAAAUCUUCAACCUUGACUUGGAUAUGCUGGAAGUAGAACUACUUACGUAAUUGUAACAAGUUUGAAUCAAAUAUUCAAACUUGGAAACGUGGUCAGGUUUCCAAAGUUUGAACGAGUGAAGCAGGGUGCGCUUUCUGAACUAGCCCGUGUAUAUAAUUACUUCUGUAACACGCUAGUCUACGCUCUACAGACUACAGGGGGUUGUCAGUCUACACUCUUGGAGUGGAGUAGCUAGUAUCGUACCAAGAGCCGCGAAACCCAUAAUUGAUCAUAUGCCGAGUCUCCGGGCACAAUUAACGUCAUCGUGUUUCUUUUUUAUUUUUUAUUUUCUCGCCGCACAUUAACAUCAUCGCGUAUCUUGUACCAAUAGCUUUUGUAUGCAAACUGCAGUAUUUAGUUCUGAGUUCUGACCACAUUAUUCAGGCAUAUUUUUAAAUAUUAAAAUCACUUGGAUGAUCGAUGACGGAAAGUCGGAAUAAAAUGUUGCAUAUUGUUGAUGGAAAGUCGGAACUUUAUCUUUUUGUUGUAGUUUCUUUAGCCUGGGAGUCCGCGAGAAAUUUUAUGCAUGUUUCAUUACGUUUCAAACGUCUCCUCUCCUCUCUUUAACUAACCUGAGAUUUACUGUGAUGCAAACCAAGUAAAUUGUAAUGUCACAAUAAUGAUAUUUAUAUACUCCUUUCAUCCCACUUUGAUAGUCCUGUUUCUUUUUUCACACAGUUUAAGAAAAAGUAGUUAAUUUUGUUGGAAAAGUAAAUUUAGAUUGCUAUUUUCCUAAAAUACCCUCACAUUAAAUAGAGUACAACUUUAUAGAAACUUGAAUUGAUGGUAAAAAAAGAAUCAACUCUCAUUAAAUGGGGUAGGUUUAUAGUAACAACAACUUACAUUGAAUAAGGGCAUUUUAGAAAAAUUAAAUAUUUUUUUAAUUGAAAAGUGGACUACAAUUUGAGACAGACAAAAAAGGAAAAUAGGACUAUCAAAGUGGGACGGAGGGAGUAUCUGUUAAUGACAGGCAGCACUUGUAGAAUGCUCGGGCAAGAAACUAAGAAUAGCCGCUCGGUGCAUGGUUCUCAACCAGGGUCAUGCAGUCCUCGGCGAGAGACUUUUAGAUAACCCUAACGACGUAUGUCUGGGUCUGGCCGUUUUCCACUAUCGCUCUUUUUUUCUUUUUUUUUUGGGCGUGAUUGUGUAUGUUCUUUUCUUUUUUUUCUUAAUUCCAGAAGAUGUUACCAUUUUUUGGAGAGGGAUGAGUGAUGUGUUACGUGAAAAAAAAUAAUAAACUACUUUUUGGAGAGGGAUGAGUUAUGUGACCAACUACUUUCUUCUUUUGCUAUUACAAUCUAUUUAUUACUUUUAGUCUUCUUAAACUUAUUAUUUAUUUAUUUCUAUAUUUUUAAUUUUCGUUAUUUGACGUAAUAAUAAUCAUAAAAUCUACGAAGUGACAAAUUACAUGUUAUCUAUGUGCAUAAAAUAUUCAUAUAUUACUUAAAUCAAUACAUCGAGAGUUUAGAAUAAAUUAGUUUUAAAUAAAAAAUAGUAAAAAAAUCAAAAUUUAAAUCAUAAUAACAUAGUGGUUAAUAACUAUAUUAAUAAAAAAAUAAAUAAGAUAUGUUACUUGUUUUAGACAUAUUCUUUUAAAUAUUAAGUAAUUUGAAGUUCUAGUUUGCUAAUAUCUUUUUAGACAGCCAAAUUGAUAGUAAUAUACAUUUUUUCAUUGUGAAAGGUAUACAUCAUUUUUAUGCUAUAUAGAUUGUCUUCAAUUUCCUUUAUUUUUUUAUUAUUUUUUGUUCUUCGUUCAAGUGAGCUGCUCUAUCCAUAAUCAUUUAAAUCAAUAGAACAAUCAUGAAAUAAUAAAUAAAAGAUAGCUACAACAUCGUAAUAUGUAUACAAAUUAGUAAUACUAAUAGGAAAGUGAAGAAAAUAAUGACAUGAAAGAAGUAAAAAAAAUAAAAAAAAUAAGUAAAAAGAAAGUAGUGGAAAAGAAAAGGCAAAUGAAUGAAAAAAAACAAAAUACAAAAGUAAGGGCACUUUUGUCUUAAAAUAUCAGAAAGUGGGGUGGGGGUGCAAAAGCUUAUUUUAUGAGUUCGGGGGACAAAGCGUAACUGAGAAUAAAUUUAGAGGGAUUUAGUGCAUUUAACCUGAGAAAUAAUAACUAAAAAAACAGCCAUAUGAAUAUUAAAUGAAACGUCUAUUUUGGUUCACUUUAAAUAGCAAUUGAAGCUUUGCAAGUAUUAAUGUAUUAUAAAUGACUAACCAAUCAACUACUUUUAGAGUAGUUGGCUAUCAAGAUUUACUGGAAGUUUGACCAACGGAUGCAAAGACAUUCGUUUGGUUCAAUGGUGAUUCAAUCCCCUCUAAAUUUUCCCUUGGCUCAUUUGGCCCGCCCCCUCUCCGUUAGCAUAGAAUAUGAGUAUGAAUAAGUAUGCAAUAGAAAGCUAUUGUGUCGGAAAAGAGAAAGUUUUUUAAAUGACCAAAAUGGACUAUAUGGGCUGGUUUUCCACAGGUUCGGAUACUGCAUUCUCCGCUGGUCAACGGGCUAAAGUACUUGCUCAAAGGGUGUUACGGUCCUAACAUUGGCCCCAUACCAGAUAUUUUGUGCAUAACCCAAGCCCAAAUAAAUGAUUAUGGGUAGUCGUUUCAUUUUUUACAAAUUGUUUCGGUACAUUUUGGUUUUUUUUUUUUGCUCUCUGCUGUUGCGUAUGUAAGGCCAACAACUGCAAAUGCAUGCAAAACUUGAAGCAAAUAUCUCAUUGCAAGGAGUGACUUUGGUCUGGUGUAAUAACUAGUAAUAAGUAAGAAAGUAUAUGGUUUCGCAAUAGCAAUUGGAAUAAUGAACCCUACAUCUGGUCAUGAGUUUUUUGUCAUUUGCGUAACUCGUUUGGUCUGGAAUUUGAACGUGUUUCAUUGUGCUAAUAAGAUAAGGAUUAAUUUUGUAUACAUUCACAGUGUAUACACUUUAUCAUUAGAUGCAUGACACAUAAUCUGAAUCUGAAUGUUAAUUUUGCAUAUGUGUUACACAUCUAACCGUGAUAGGUAUACACUGUCAGUGUAUAGAAGAUUAACUCAUAAGAUAAUUAAUUUGAAACUCAAUUAAUAAGUGAAGAAUGAUAGGAGUGAAAAUUUCACUUUUAUUUUCAUUGGAUGAUUCCUGUAGCGGCAUACCAAAUAAUAAAUACGAGUGGCCGUAACUUUGCACAAAAACAGGGGAAUGAGGAUGAUGUUUCUAUGGUCGUUUGUUGAAAAAAAAAAAAAAAGAGUAUGAUGUUUCUGUGGCAAAAAAUACGGAUGCUGGUUGUAGAAGCAAAGGGGCCGUCCACACGAAGGCGACUGUGUUGCGGAGGGCUGUGUUUCGACGUGGAAUUCAGGUAUGUUUGUAGGCCCAACGAUGCACUUCCGGGCGCAAUAGAGCUAACACGUAAUGAUGACUUCGUGAGUAAAAAACACUACUACUACUAAAAGAGCCUCUUCAGAAAUUCAUGUUAUGUUUGUAAACGAAUACAGCUCAAGUUUCAAGGACUCCACCGGCUCAAGUUAUUAUAAAUAAGAAAAGUUCCACAUAAGUCUUGUUUAUAAACCCCCCCCCCCCACCCCACCCCACCACUUGUCCAUUGAAUAACAUAUAAAAAUAAAGACAAAUUUUAUAAGAGGUUAAAGGUAUGCACAUACACUAUUGCACCAUCUCUAAAGUCUUUCCUAGAUUUUUUUAAUUAGUAUAAUUCAAGAACGAAUUUCAAAUCGUGGCUGGUGGCCAACCUGAACAAGGAUUUGAAUAGUUGAAUUUUGUAGGAUAAGCAUAAGCACAAGUUGAGAUUUGGUGGGCAGAUCAGAUGGGCAUGGUUCCGAUUGCCAGUUGCCACUUAACCCUGGACUCGAGUCCCCCAAACCAAAAAAAAAAAAGAAAAAAAGAAACUUCGCGUCCGAAAGCCUUUAAAGCAAAGAUUAAAUGAUUAAAUCCACAAACAUAGCUCAAGAUCAUUGUAACCGUCACUGGAAGCAGAGAAAUGCGGUUUAGACACUCACUUGAGGUAUUUCUUCAGCCAUACUAAUAAUAAUAAGAAACAAGAAAGCACAAUCCGUCCGGCCAUAAUUAACCUCUUUUCCAAUGUUGGUGCGUAACCACAUAAUCGAGUAAUUCUUCAUUUUUCAUAACAAUAAUAAGAAUAUAAACGCGCUGGCUACAAUAUCCACCGCAUGUAUGACUCUCGAUUCAUCAUAUUUGUUGAACUGCUCACUUUCCUUCUUGUUACGUCAAGCACACCACAUCGAUGGUGAAACUGCGGCGUUUUAUUGCCAUUCCCUCGGACAAGCUUUAAUGUUGCAUCUUCUGUAUUAUUAUUGUUGUUGUUAUUAUUAUUUAAGUAAAUCGUCCAAAGCUUGCUAGCUACAAUGCAUAGGAAUAUUAAUGGAAUGAAAGCCGGCGUUCAUUACUGUGAUAAAAAACUACAUAUGCUUGGCAUUAAUCUUCGGUUUCGUGGAAUAUAUCAGACAUUAUUUAAAAAUCGAUGCAGGUUGAGGAUGGUGAACGGGUUGGUUGAUGGAGACAUGAUAUUAACCAAUUAUCAAUAUUAAAAAAAAAAAUCAAUUUCAUUUUGGCCUCGGGUGAUGCAAGCCUUCAUCCUUUUCUUCGAUUUCAGUUUACCGACUCAUUAGAGUAAUCUUCGAGUUGGGAACACCUAGUAGUCCUUAAAACCGGUAGUACCAUUUAGUGUACCGGUAUCAAUUAUCAUCAUUUCUUUCUACUCACUGCUGUAUGGAAUGGAGGAGUAUCGCAUGUGGCAUGGGCCUAUGGGGUGAAUGAGUGGACGUUGAAGUGUAUUUUACUCAAAAUCUCCAAUGCUUUUUUUUUUUUCUGCAAUUAGAACAAGUUAUUUACAAAUUUACUUCUAUCUUUUUUUUUAGAGCAACUAUUGUUUAGAUUAUCUACUGUUUCCAGAGUCAUUGGUAUUUUAAACGAAAAUGCAAAAUUACAAGUGAAAAUUUUAUUAAUUUUAAUGGCUAUUAAUUGCUAGGACAAAUUUGCCUGAUAUUAGCAACUUUGAGACGGAAUUAUUUCAUCAGACGAAUAAAGUGACAAAAAUCUUAUUAGUACUCAGGAGAAACUUUAUGGGAUGUAGAUAUACGUACAUGAAUCUGCGACGAGGGAGGCAUUAACCACGUCUGAUUGGUUGGCGGCUGAUUGGGCAAAUGCUUUAAACGGAACAUACAUCGCUUUCUCAAUUGCCCAACAUUGGAUUUGGAUUAUUAAUACGGAACACGUGAUAAUGCUGUAUAGGCGGAGAGCGCGAGCCCCAUUUCCCCCAAAACUACGCCAGAGGGCUGCCUCAAACCCAACCGCUGCCGCCGCCGCCUCCCCCACACACACGCACACACACAAAAAAUCCAAAUUCCGCCGUACUAAGGCUUUACCAAUGGAUAUCUGUUUUCCUGGUGGUUUCAACAGAGACAUAGCUGAUUGUAGUUUGUUUUGGAACUGUGGGGGGUAAGCUUCUCUUCUAAACAGAAAAUGGGAGAACACACAGCAGAGAAUUUUUGCACUGUUGUGGAAACGCAUCAAAAAUACCCGCAUUGUUAACAUCGUUGCGUUAUUUUAUUUCUUUUCAAAGAACAAUUCUUGAAAGGGAAAUGAAGGAAUUUACGAGUCAAAAAUCAAAACCAAUUUAACUCAUAAAUAUUUAAUUAAUGUCUUAUUAUCUGAAUCAGAGAGUUUUCGGACACGUUAGCCUGUUUUGGGCACACGACACCACAAGAGGUGCAUGAUCCAAUAUGCGGCGAGUCCAAAAUAUCCGGCGAGGCCAGCUCAUGCGCACGACUCCUACGAGUCUACAACAACUAGUGAGUAGAAUUCUAUGUUGUAAAAUUCAGAUAAUAGUAACAUAAUCCGUUUGGUACCUCUCUCUGUGACUCUGUCUCCCACCCCACUAUAGAAUUAUUACAGUAAAGCCUCUACAAAUUAAUAAAUUUAGAACAGUACAGAAUCUAUUAAUUCAAAGUGAUAUUAAUUAAUCAAUAAAUUAUUAAUUAAUUGAGUAUACUCACAAUUCAAGAAAACACUAAUUUAAUUAACUAAAUAUUUAUUUUAUUUUAUAAAAAUAUGAAUUAUUCUAUCAAUAAAAAAACUAAAAAUAUAAGGAAUAUAAACUAAUCCAUGUCUACUUGAUUUUUUAUUUGUAAGUAUAAUUCAUUCUAUUAAUAUGUUCAAUGUACAAAUGUAACUGAUGUCAUUUUUAUAUUAUCAAUAGGUCCAAAACACUUAAGAAUGCUAAGGCCUGUUUAGAGAAGUGGAACUUCCGGUGUUAAAAGACUUUCAGUAAAAACUCAAAUUUGGUCUUUUAGAUAGCUUUUGUGAUUUAAAAAUAAAGUAUUAAAUUUAAUCAUUUUAUCCCAUAUUAUGAACUAAAUAAAGAGAUAAAUGCAUUUAAAAAUUUUUAAAUUACACAUUAUCCAAUAUAAUAAGUACUUAUUAAACUAUAUUUCUAAACAAUAUAUUUAGAAGCAUUUAAGUAUUUGAUAAGUACUUUUAUUAAAAACUCUAUUAGAAAAAGUAUUUUUUAGUAAGUUAUCGUAACUUCAAACAAGUCCUAAAAUGAUAAAUGUCCAUCGCCAUUUAUCACAGGAUUAAUUUUUUAGAGUGAAUGGCCGAAAUGGUCACUUAACUAUUUAAAAUGGCACCCUUUGGUCAAUCAAACUUUUUUUGUAGCCAAAAAAGUCACUAAACUCACGUAAACGCACCAGCGAAGUCAUUUUACCGAAUUUUAGCGGUGAAUCAUCCGGUUACAAGGGUCUUGAGUUGAAUAAAUAUUCUGAUAUGGGCAAAAAUGUCCAAAAGAUUAUUGGGGCAAGUGAACUCACAGAUUGUUUCAUUCCCAAAGUUGACCAAUCGAUCGACAUUCACUUCAUCUUCUCCGGUGAAGUUUACUAGCUGGGAACACUUCACUUUUCAAUUUGACCCAGCGUAGAAGUUUACUGGUUGUGACCGAGAUUCACUCUCCUCUCUGUCUCGUCACUUCCGACCUCCCUACUAUCCCUAUCCGCCCCACCACUAACCCCGACCCAACAUCCAACUCCGACGACGAUGACCCUUUGAGCCCAUAGGUUUCAUCACUGCUUUCUCAAUUUGGUCUCUCGAGCCAUACCCAUUAUUUGCUCAGUCUUCGAUUUCCUUCGCCAGCCACCUAGCUGAGUUGGAAAGAGUCUUGGCAGUUCCAAUGACUACACCCAGCCAAAAAAAAAAAAAAUGUUUACCCAGAAAAAUGUUUUUUUUCUUUUACAGAAAAAGAAAAGAACAGAAUGAUACUUUUUUUUUGUAUUUUCGCAGCCGUGUGCUCCCAUCCGUCACCAGUGGGUUGCCGAGGGCAGCCGUUGAAGGGAGUGCUGUGCUAUCCCAAUAAAUUUGCGCAGCUGGAAAAUCUUUCAGAUGAUGUGUGGUUGCAUUUACAGAAAACUCGGUCGUCUUCUGCACCUCAAUCUCCAACUCCUCUAUCGCCACGUGGUAUGGUGGAUCGGGGUAGAAGGAAAUCUGUGGAUAAUACCAGCGAGGAGGUUGUUUCUUCUCAGCAGCUUAAGGAUUUCCAAGCUGGUAUUGGUGAUCGUUUAAGGAAGUUGGACCUCUUUGAGGCUGACUGUCCGCGUUCGGCACUAUUGGAUUCCAAAGACAUUGAAUUGCCUAUAUUGAUGGUCAGAGAUCAAGGGGAAGCUCUUUAGAAAAGUAACCUAGGAGGGAUUUACCAACCGCAUACAAAGAAAGCGUUCUGAAAUCUAUGGAAUGAGGUAAAGGAAGGUCAAUUCUGCCUACCUAAAGGGCAGAAGAACCAGACUCUUGAUCUGAGUGGAAAGACUCAUCUUUCCAGAUGUGACUAGAAAAUUGCCCAAAAGAGGCAUGUCGGCAUCAGCGGAGUCAAGGGCUUUCAUAGUAUAUAGUGCUUCCCCGAUGAUAGAAGGUCGAAUCAAAGCGACUGGAAAAAAUCCCUAUAUUCUGACUGCCCAUUCCUUUCCAGGGAUCGAAAACUCUAACUCGAAAUAUCAUAAGAAAAGAGCGCUCCGUCAUGCAACCUUUCUCUUCUAUACGAUACCACCAUUUU